UGCAGAAUGAAAAUGCAUUAUAGGGUUUCCAUGCGCAAUACUCAGUGCUAAUCUAAUGUGAGGCGCUAACGGGUCAGUGAGCUGGAGCAAGCAACGUCCCAGACUCAGUGCAUCAGCGAGGGGAGGAGCUGCUCAAUUCUGUAUUUCUAUAGAUGGGUGGUUGAGUUCCAUUCGUGAUUUGCAUUCCGUGAUUUGACCUUACACUUAAGAGUUUCCAUUCGUGUUCCUGUUGACAAUGUUGUCGGUGAAGAAAGUGAUGUUGAACUUGACUGUUCAGGUUCCGUAGACCAAGCAAUUCAAUCAAAUAAGUAUCUUGUUCGGGGAUGCGCCUCUACUCCCAGUAGUGACUUGGCUCUUUCUGUUCCAGUUGCAUCCUGACCUUAGAAGAAUCCCCGGUUAAGUAUCAAAAGUGAGAGUAUAAAGCAGCAGUGGGAGCGGUCCAGACUUAUAUACGCGUCAACAGAUUAGUUUCAGCAUCUCUUAGCUCUCAAGUGUUUGCUUUCUUUCCAAAUAAGUAGAUAGAAUGAAAGAUGAAUGGAGCCGGGUAAGGGUAAUUGAAUUAAGACUCUGGCGUAGUAAUAUAUGGGACUGCUCCCUUUACGCCCCUGCAGGGCUCUGUAACCUAAACCAAGCAAUUCUUUCUGUCCUGUCCUUUGCUUUCUUGGGUAGACAGCGGACUUUCUCUUUCUCACGAUCUUGGCUACCACUGAGAUAAGGGAAUAGUUGGAACAUAACUGCUGACUUGACUGAUUCGUUACCCUAUUAUAUUAUUAGUAAAUAGUAGGGGGGCCCACAUCUAGUAGUAUAUUAAGGUACCGGUACUCUAAUUAGUAAAGAAUCGAAAAGGCAAUAUUCUAUAAGAAAAGUCAAAACACUCCUGAAAGCUAGAAGAACUUAGAUAUCAGCGCACCUUACUCCAUUAUUAUAUGUAUUCUUGACCGGAACCCAGUCCUUAACUUCAAGCAAUGGGGAACCCACAGAAUAGGUGUUAUUCAUUAUUUCACUGAACCCUGCUUGCUUGCAUAUAGCAGUGAAUGCCAUACUUUCUUUGAGCAGGCAAUCAAUCCUCUUUUCUUUCUUAGUUGACUUCAAGCUCUCCCACUCCAGUCGUUGCUUUUCUUUCUGUUACUUCGAAAGUAGCUGGUUCCUCCGCGUCAUUUCUAUAUUCCUUUUUCUUGCUCAUCAAAUUCCAAGGCAUCUUAUUCUGGAAAUACUCGCUAUUCUUAGCAUUAUAUUGGGAAUCUCAUUGCUAUUACUCAAACAAGCAUGAAACUACUGCUUGCAUAUUAGUACAUCGGGGUCAAAUCAGAUAUUUCAUUAUUGGAAGGAAUUGUUGGAGACUAAAAUGAUUGAUAUCAAAGCAUGAUAACUUAUAUGCUGUUCUAUAUCUCCAUGAAUCUAGGAACUUUUGCUUGCAUUGUAUUAUUUGGUCUACGUACCAGAAUUGAGAACAUUCGAGAUUAUGCAGGGUUAUACAAGAAAGGUCCUUUAUUGGCUUUCUCUUCAGCCCUAUGUCUCUUAUCCCUAGGAGGUCUUCCUCCACUAGCAGGUUUUUUCGGAAAACUCUAUCCAUUCUGGUGUGGAUGGCUGGCAGGCCCAUAUUUCUUGGUUUCAAUAGAACUCACUCCUGACAAGCGUUCUAUCUAUCUACUAUUAUUGUGAGAGCCCAUUGAGAAAGGUCAAUCGAAUGACAUCUAUUUCCGAUAACGAACUCUACCUUAGAAUAAAUAACGGAAAGAAUGUCGGCACCAAAGCCAUACGAUACUUGAACGAUACUUCGAAUUGGAGUGAGGGACUGUGUGAAGUAAAGCUCCCCAACCUAUUGAAUAGAAUAGAAGAUGAUAGACAUCUAAGUCCAGAGUUCAUAACCUAAUUCCUGAUUGCUGAAUAAGUAAACUGACUCCAAAACAAGCUUUCACCGCGUUUCUUCUUAACCGCUUCUUUGAUACAACUAAGCUUAUUCUAUCAUCUACAAUGCUACUGAUUGACUUAGGGCUGAAGAAGCACGGACAAUAAGUUGACGACAGAGUUUUUCCACAAUAAGGGAAAGCCAAGAGCCCAUAUACUAAGGCACCGCCAUACAACACGAAACAACAAGACAAGGAGCUACUGCGGGAAGGCAAUAAUCCAAAAGGCAAUCUGUUGAGUGUGAUAAUGAAGUGAAACCGGAGGUGUGUGUAAGGGUUUAGUUCACGACAUAGGCUACGGAAAGAGUAGUGGGCUUACCACCGAGUCGAGUAUAGGAAGCUACCAACCAUGUAGUCGGCCUUAACCGAAAGAGAAUGCAGUCAAGCGAAAUAGACGAUACGCGCGCAUAUAUGAAAGAAAGAACUAAAGCGUGGGAGCUCCUCUUGUUUGGUAUCGGGAACUAGACUGACUUCCCAGCAUUCCGGAAAGUCUUGACUAUGAUUCUCUUAUAAACUAUCUUGACUAUGAUUCUCUUAUAAACUAUCUUGACUAUGAUUCUCUUAUCAAAUAAUAUAUGAAUUGCUUUUCACUACUUUUGACUCAUAUAUGAAUCGGUAAGCAUUCUGGAGAUUCUUGGUAAGCAUUCUAGAUCCGACUAGUGCCUAUUGGCUUGGCUCAUCUGGUACUGCUGCUUUCCUUCCCUAGUGUUUGCCUACUGGACCAGAACCGUUGUAGACCGUAGGCUGCGAUGUUGCACCGUUCCUGCUUUGUUUGGACCGGACCAUAGCUGCUUGUGUCCAUCCACUUUAAGAAGAAAUUGUUGCUUCCUUGCCCAAAAGCUAGAUAAGAUGAAACUGAAAGGUAAGAGAAUCACCUGUUUCGGGAUCAUAAGCAUACGUGCACUUGAAGGAAGGACAGAGGCAGAGGGUAAAGCGGUUCAGAAAGAAAGUGUAGUUACUGUGUUAUCCACUCGAUCAGAUGCUGUGUUAGGAAAGUGUCUCCGUGUUGGCGCUCCUGUUGAGUUAGAAGAAAUAGAGCAAAUCUGAGAUGUUAGAUGCGUAGGCUAUCCCAACUCUAUUAACAGUAACAGAAGACCAUUGCUCGAAUUACCUUCACUUUAUAUUUGUUAAGAAUCGACCCGAACUCGUAUACUCGGGAAAGCGCCUUAUUGUAUGUUCCAAUUCAUUAAGAAAUGUGUUCGGUGAAGCUUGAAUAAAACCAUCAAUCAGGUGUCAGAACUAAGUAAUCAAACGGAGAGGAUAGUACUGGCGUUGGAGCUGCAUCUUCAGAGGCGAAAAGAGUGACUGUUUUCGUAUCAGCUAAAGAGUAAGGGAAAGUUGUUGACAGAAGAGAAACUGCUGAAGCAAGGUGUGGUCCACAGAAUGGAGUUGAGCCUCAUAGAUUCAAUUGACAUUCUGGAGUGCGAGCAUUGUCUUGACUAUCAUUAUAUAGCAACUUUACUAUCAUUAUAUAGCAAAUAUAUAACAAGUGCAAAACAAAAGAUUCCAUUAAUGAUGAGGACAGGACUGGUCUAGGCCCAACAAGAACAAGUGCGUAAGCAUCAGCGUCAGCGUCAGCGUAAAGGUAAGUGAGUGAACAAGCUAAAGAAACGGCACUAAGAGAAGAGGUUGGCUUUGGGGAAGACAAACAAUAAGUUACUGGAGAAGAGAGAUAGGGGCAGAGUCAAGGAUCUCUAGGAGUAAGGUUGAAUCUGUUAUAUUAUAUUAUAAGAUCGAAUUUAGAUGUCAUUUCUUAUACUUGUAGGAAAUAGAGAAGGAGUGGUUAGUUUACAGAGCAAGAGGAUUUUACCAGACAAGUUGACUUAGCCCUGUAUGAGCAUCCGUGAAAGAUGAAAUGCACUCAGUAGUCCUGUUUCAUCAGAGGUGUAGUGGAGUGAUUGCUGAUAGAGGUGAUUUUGUUGUGCAAUAGGAGAAUCCUCAGUUCGGGUUGAAGUCAUAGAGUUCUUUUCCAGUUGACAGUUCAAGUUCCGCUCUAUAAGCAAAGGGACUACCAGGAUACAAAGUGAGUGAGCUGCUCGCAACAAGUCUGGUUUUAGGCGAUAGAUAGUUUGAGGAAGAAGAAAAAGAUUCCCAAAGAAUAAGGGGAAGUUGCUGGAUCUGAGGCAGGAGUUAGUGGUGAAACAUGUAUUGUUCAGGUGUAAACUGCAAGCGCUAAGUAUCCAAGAGAAGUUAUUGUAUCUAAGUAAGUUAACGGAGCGGUCACCCACCUAACUCUCUCUUCAUUUCACUCAAACUAAGGUACUUUUUCUUUCCUCGCUCUACUCUGAUACUAAUGCACUUAGGCUUUCCCUCGCUUAACUCUGAUACUAGUUUAGUGGGAGAGGACAGAAUGAUGUUAGGUGCGAGUGUUAUCUACCUUAAGUCCACAGAAAGCUCACUUGUUCCAUUACUUGUUCCAGCAAUAGCAUCUAUCUCACAACUACUUGUUCCAGCAAUAGCAUCUAUCUCACAACUAAUAGAAACACUAGUCACCCUAACAUAACACAUAGCUUACUGCUAACUAACACUCCUAAAAAGAAUUGCUUACUUCCCACUUAUUUUAUAAUUGCUUACUUACUACUGACUUUCUUUGACUUUCUUUGGGCGCCUAUGCUUAUAGUGUGUUCAGACAGGAAAGGAUGGGUGCGUUAGCUUAUCGUGUUUCAGGCGGUUCCAUUUGAUUGCUUUUUGGUUCUUCUGAGAUUUCUCUACUUAUUAGACUUAUCCCUGUAAUUGUAGUUUGGGCGAGUUUCAAGCUAUAACUAAGGCAUUUAGUCUUUUUGCUUGUUUGCUUGUUUGUUAUGUUGCGCUGUAGUGAGUUCUUUCUAAUGCUGCACCCUACCCUGCAAAAAUAAGUGAACUUAGCGCCCUUGCUUAUUUGAAUGGAAUGUUAGUGCCCCAGAAAUAUAGCAUCCCGGAAAGCAGAAAGUAACUGAUUUGAAUUAAGGCACUCAACUUGAAGAACGAAUAGGCCCUGAAGUCAUACUGAAUGAAGUACUCUAUUCUUAUUGCCGUAUCUUUUGACUUGUUUGUUUUCGCUGUUGCUUGUUGAAUCUUAUCAUGCGAUAGGGUAACAAAGGGGUGAAAAACCUGCCUGCUGACUCCUGACUCUAAAGAUGUUGACUCCUGACUUAUAAAGAUGUUGAUUCCUUUGACUCUAAAGAGGAGAAGAUCGUGUUCUACAUAUAGGAGCACGGUAACCUAACUUGAAACUCUAACCUCACUGCUUGCUGACUGCUGACAUAUUACAAGAAUGACUCAUUAUAUUGGCACCCGCUCAACAAAGCUCGUCUACUUACUUGUUUGACUCUUCUACUCCUUGCUUCCUCCCUGCCUUUCCGUAAUCUAAACCUAAAUCUGGCUUCCCACUCUCUUGGCCUGCCUCUCCCGAUCUAAAAACCACUUAUACCUUGUUUGAGUCACCAAGCAACUACUAAUGACCAAGCAACGGCGAAAGACGGCCGCCAAGCAACUACUAACGACCAAGCAACGGCGCGCCAAGUAACUACUAGACAAACAACUACUAACGACCAAGCAACGGCGCGCCAAGUCACUACGCUUCCCUUUCCUCUUCUCCGGUCUUCUACUUACAACUCGAAACUCCUGCUCUGACCACCUGUUCUCCACUCCAUCUUUAUAGCUUCAUUCUGCCUAGCUCACCUCUCUAGCUCACCUCGCCUUUGACUCCUUAGUUUGGUUCUGAGCCUACACAGCUUCAGUCUUACACCCGCGAGAUCUAUUCUGUGACUCCUUUGUUUAAGCCUGAGUGGCGCUUGUUUGAGUAUGAGUAUACAUGGCACUGGUUCUUGUUAGCACUGCUUGGAGUCUUGCUGGCACUGGUUCCAUUCUUAGUACUAUAUGAGGAGUUCAGGUCAUACUAUAUAUUCUAGGUCAUAUGCGGCUUUCAGGUCAUACUAUAUAGUACCAUAUGCGGUUUUCUGGUCAUAGGAUAGAUUCUUAUCAUAUCGGACUUCUGGUCAUACUGGUAUCAGUCUUCCACUCCUUUGUUUUAGUCUGAGUCGGGUGAGUUUGAUUCUUAGUACUAUAUGAGGAGUUCUGGUCAUACAUAGGGAAUAGCUGGUUUCAGUCUGAAGUAGCUAUAUAGAAGCACCAGUACUGGGUUAUAGCCUGUCACUCCUUAGCUUCAGUCUAUAUCUCUGACUUUUCUAACAGAAAUGACUAGCUCACUCUUUCCCUACUGGCAUCGGUCCUUGCUUUACGGAUUAUGGGCGGCCAUCCCCUAUCGUCUCUGAUUCUGACUACCUGGCACGUCAGCCUACCUCUCCUCUUCUCUUUCCUCUGAUCUCUACGACCUAACUAACCCAGCUUUGCUUCUUUCUUUAUAAGAUUCCACUCGGUAUUCCACAAGAAAAGAUCUAAUUUAGUAGAGUUCCAGUUUCAUCUGCAAUUCAUUCAGUGGUUGUCGACUCUCAAUCUCAAGCCUUAUUUGCCCUGACUUAUGAAGCGGAAGCGCACUGAAUACUCGUAUCUUAAGGGUGAGCUCCGUUAGCCGAUGACUCAAACAGGACUUGCGCGUUAGUAAGUGACACAAGAAGUAGAAACCGUGAGAAUAGUUCCUCUGCCUCUGUCCUUUCUCGGUACCUCCCUAAGCCUCGGCCUCUGUCCUUUACUCAUGUAUUGGGUUCUUAUGCUGAUAAGUAUUAUUUUCUUAAAGCAAGAGGUGGAUCAAAAGACGUUGUCUACUAGUGAGCUUUGGAAGAGUCAGCAGUGUGGUGUGUGGAGUUACUGGAUUCAAUUAGUGAGUCAGGAGUUGGGUUACUCCAUUCUAUAUGUGGUGGGGGAACGUGAGAUUCCAUACUUCUUUGUGCACUCUCCAAUAUCCUUUAGAGUCAGCAUCAGCGAACUCGCUAAAGGGAGAGGGAGUUGUUGCCAAGUUGUUCAAUUCUUCAUCGUCUGCGCCUAACGGAUCAGUGAGUUGUUGAAAUAAGAAAUGUUCAAUUCAAGCUUACGGAGUUCUCUUCUCGGGAGCUCCGCACUCGAAAGAGUUCAGAAAGAAUCAAUAUUAUAUGCGCUCGAAAGAAUGAGGGGAGGGUAUUAGUUGACCGCAAGAAAGAAAGAUGACUGUUUUCAAUAUGAGCUGCUGGAUCACAUUCUUCAUUGAAAGGAGAGUAAUUAAUAAGCUCACAAGUGGUUGAUAACAAGCUACUCAAACUCGGGGUGCUAAAGGAAAAGAAAGGUUAGUUUGUGGAAAGGGGAAGAAUUGAUAGUAUGGCAGAGCAAAGAUGAAAGCCAGCUGCUGUAGUAGAUUCAAAGUAAUAAAAGUAUUAAGUUAGUGGUGAUGUUGUAUAAAGUCAGUAAGCAGCCCGCGGUAAAGGUGGAGUCUCUUUUGGUGCCAGUGUUGCUUUAGAAUAGAAUUCCGGAAUUUCAUGAUCAACUGCCCACUAUGCGCUUAAGUAUAAAGUGACAUAUCAAGACGACUUUCCGCUCGAAGUCAAGUAUUCUGUUUCAAGUCUGUUAGCUGCCCUAGUCAAGUAAAGUUCGGGUAUUGUCUGCAAGAGCUUCUCUUGGCUCUAAGUUAGCAAGUGAAAUCAUUGGUUUUCCUAGUUUUACAAGGCGAAAGUUCCAUUCUUGUUGUUGGCGAAAGAAAGUAAGGUGUUGACGAAAAGUCCGGAGGGGCAGGGCAACUUGUGUCUAAGUAAUCAAAUUCCAGUGUAGUUCCAGCUGGAUCUGGUGAGGAAGCCGAAGAUACAUAAUAAUUAUUGUUCCCCGCUAUGUAUUAUAGAAGAAGAAUAAGGUCACGCUCGUACGGGCUCUUAAAGAUAAGUCUGAAACUACAUUAUGAAAUUAUUACUUAAAUAAGGUACUCUUACUCUGCAUCUAAGAAUUCUUAGAAGAAGGUACUCCCUUAAAUAAAGAACUCCUUACUCUAUUGACUCUGAUCUUUCUUCCCUGGCUUCUGAACUUAUUACUACUGAUGCUUACUCAGUGGAUGUGGAUGCUAUACGGAUGCUGACGUCACAAGUCUCAGUGCGUCGGCGAGCGGAACGGGGUGCCUUAUAUUCAAUGGUUGCGGGGUUCCCUCUCUUCAAUGCUUGCAGCUUACUUCCUUGAUCUAGCUUCUUCUCUUCGAUACUAAACUUUCCCGUAUUCUGAUCCUUGAGUAGUGAAUUAUGAGGCUGCCAAACUAAUAUGAUUCUCUUAAAGCAAGGGGAAAAUCCCAUUAUGGAAUUGGGGAUUAUCCUACCGACUUUGCGCUAAAGAAUGACUACUCGAUUGUUAACCCAGCUUGAAUGCCAUCUUAUCUACGUAAAGCAAGCCUGUAAACCCAUUUAUCUCUGGUCGACAAACGGAUGAAACUCAUUCACAAAGAUACGAGACUUCAGCUUCGUUACUGAGAGCUCCGGCGGGAUCUUCUCUUGUCUUGUCACCAACCAAGUAAAUAAGCCACUUGAAAACAAGUAUUUUGGACUUAGCACAGAGGCCGGAAAAGAUUUGGAUUGAGUUUCUCGAGCACCAACGAUAGAUAUAAGUAAAGACAUGGCAUCCCUCUCUUUUUUAUCCGAUCCUGAUCUACCAGCUCUUGCCUAGCGCCCCCAGAAGAAGAAGAAUCUCAAAGAAAAGUCAUAAACCUCAGAGAAACAGGCAAUUACUAUUUAGGAGUUGGCAAAGGCAAAGAGACAACUUGUAUAUAAGGGGAAUUCGAUAACUAGUUUCUGUGAUUAUUAUAAGAUUAAUUUACAAGUUCAGAAAAAAGAGAAAAGAAAGAUAAACGAAAGCAUCCGGAGUAGAGCAACAAACAGUCAGACAUCCUCUGUAAGUAAGACAUCCUCCGUAAGUAGUCUGCUUAGACCUAAUAAGCUCUGUAAGUAGUCUACGAAGACCUAAUAUAAGUAGUCCGCUACAAUAUAAGUAGUAGAGCAACAGUAAUACAUCCUAGUAGUAGAGCAACAAUAAUACAUCCAUCCUGUCCGGAGUAGAGCAACAGUAAACAAAGGAAGAAUCGGAGACAAGCAACAGGACCAGGACAUUCUAGAGCUUCCUCUCGAACAGCUUCCUCAUAUGAUCCAUCUCUUUAUUCUUCUUGAACAGGAACUCCCCUUUCAGACCCGCUUGCUUACCUAUUGAUUCGAUAGACCCCCUCUGGCUAGGCAAGGGACCCGGACCCAUACAUAGCUCUUUUGAAUUCCAUUCUGCAGUCUGUCUGUGGGGCUUGGUCUUUCAUUUUGACCUCUGCGCACAAGACAGGAGUCGCAGCUAAUAGGCGCACUACCAUCCUAUCACUACAUAUUUGCAUUCUGAAUCUAAUGAACCGGCUCCUUGCUUUCCAGCUUGAACUAUGGAUUCACGGAUCCUUUAACCAAUAACGAGAAGACUCGCGCUACUACCUAUCAUUCUUUGCCUCGGCUUUCGACCUGCUACUCAUGUCUCUAAGCCUACCUCCCCUUAGUGCUGUAUGACUCCCCUGGCUAAUAAUAGGGAUUGAACUAAGGUACGAGAUAGCACAUGCCUUUUAUUUAUAUUAUAGCAAAUAGUGAUGACCACAGGUAUCUGUUGCCUGAGUUCGGGAAGUAUAGUAAAUAAGAUGUAUAGAUUGCGGAGAUGCCCUAAGUGAAUGAGGUAGUCUAGGUCAGUUACUAAGAUCAUAAUGCAACUAACACCGAGCAGGCUGAAACAAGUAAGACAGAGAAUUAGACCUAUGACCAGAAGUCCACAUAUAGUACCAAGACUUAUACUAGUGCUAACAGGACUUCAACCAGAACAGUACUACUGAUCUUAGGGAUGAAACAACAACAAGAACAGCUCUGGCUCUGUACUCUUUACUACUCUACUGAUGAAACUACUCGUAUAUUAGUAUUGAUUCUGGGCUGUAAACCUAGCUCCGUCCUCUUCUCCUACUUUCCUACUUGAGAGAAACCCUGCUUGUCUCUGCCCCGACCCGACCUAUCUACCACUACUAAGAAGAAUAAGGCAUAAGAAAAAGGGAUCUACUAAAAGGUCUUCUUCUGGACUGGCUGGCACCCGACCUCUAAUCUAAUGUUUUAGCACCCGACCUCUUACCUAGCCUGUCAAUACCUCCUCUCAUUCUUGCUAACAGUGAUUUCAGUCCUGGUUGGUAGUAGCUAUAGCCUUGCACUCCCUGGCUUCAUUCUUAGUAUACCUGCUUGAAGUCUUGGACUCCCCGGUUUGGUUCUGUCACUCCUUAGGCACAUUCCGAGCCUACCUAGCUGCACAGGCUGAGACGAGUGAGUUGGAGACCCUAGCAACUUUACUAGAGCUACAGCACCAAACCUAUCUCUACCCUUAACAUCAAGUCAAGCCUUAUUGUCUACCUUGCCCACAAAAUCCUCUUUAGCUAGUGUUCGCUCUUAUCCUAGACCUCUGGUUCUUUUCACUGUAGUAGCUUGGUGGAACUCAUAGUUGGCCCAGUGCUAAACCCCUAAAUUCACUUAUUACUGCUGUGUCCUCAAUAAAAAGAAUGGAAGUUAUGUUGCCCAUGAUAUAAGAAAGUAAACAAACACCGAAGCUAACUAAACAUCCAAAGCUCACCUAUUACUGCUGGCUCUAUUCUGCCUAACCGAACAACCAUAGACUUUCUCUCGACGCCAAUUGAAUGAAAUUGAAAAGAAGAUAUCUCGCACGCAUAUGAUAUAACUAAGUAAACUCAUUGCAUUGCUUCCUUUCCGAACCCUCGACUUAAGUAUUCUAUUCUUAUUGCGCCGUUGCAGCUUCUUGUUCCGUUCCAAAGCUCGCGUUAGCCAGAAGCCCUUGUGGGUUCGAACUCACGUUAGCCAUUGCUUCUGACUUCUUUCACUCUUUCUGUAACUCUACCCUUGCUUGCUGAAUUAAUGUCCGGCGGGAAAUAAUCUUAGGUAUUACUCUAUGGUCUAUGUUAUUAGGCUGUUCUAAUGCAUUUGAGUCUAAGAACAUUAUCCUGCCUCUAUAGUGGAUAUGAAGCACUUCCCCACCACUACUUGCCCGAGCAAUACAGUAACGUGAUCGCCUUCUUCUUUUUCUUAUUGAUUUCUAUGGCCCGCAGAAAGUCGUAAAGCAGGAAAGAUAGGGAAGGAAAUAAGACCCCAAUCCUAGAUCAUAGCUCAUUUCUUACAGUAAGUUGUCAGGGAAAGAAUCUAUUCCGAGAGAGUUGGUGCCUAUUGCCAUACGGAAUGAGAUUCCAUAACUACAGAAUGGAGUGAAAGAUGGAUGCUUUAUACUACCAAAGUCAGAUACAUCAUUAUUACUGUACACCAUAUUCUAUAAUUAAUGAAAGACACUCUAAACUAUAAUCAAUGAAAUCAUAUCUAUUCAACAUCUUCUAAAUAUAGUAACCCUCUGUUCUUUUCUUUCCUGAUAGUCUGUCUUCUAUAAUGGGAAAUAUGUGAAAUAGAUCCAAAUAAGAAAUGCAAAGGACUUGCUCAUAACAGGAGCCAAAAACAGGUCUCUUCUGCCUCCGCUACUAUAACUGAAUGAAGAUUGGCCCCCACUAAAUGAAGGGCUUGUGACUUUCAAACUGAAACCCGGAUACCCAGUCCAUUGGUUUUCUUAUAACUCUCCUCUUGCAACUAAUACUGGAUGAAACAACUGAGUUCAAUUAAGACUUGAGAGUGGAGUUCAGAGCUGUAUCCCUGUAUCCGGCAUAAGGAGAAGAAAUCGGAGUACAUUCUGUCCGCUUGCCUUUACUUAUAUUACUGUCUGCGGCUACGUUACUUUUCUACUUCUCUGCUUGUCUGCUUGGCUCCUACUUUCUUACUUUAGAGUCUCAUUCUUAUAUAGUUAGUCAAAGAAGACCGCUUCUCUUCUUAUAAGCAGUAACCUACUAGUAGAAUCCUAUUCUUAAGCAAUAACCCACUAGUAUAACCCCAUUCUAUAGUUCAAUUCUAUUCUUAUGUUUCUUACCCUAGAUCACAAGUUAUGUAUUCUCGGUAACUAACCUAACCUAGUAUAAGAAGUGAAAGAGUUCUUGAUACAACACUGAGGCUAAGAAGUACGCCGCUUAUAUCUAGACAAGUCGACAAGCAACAGAUAAGCUCUUAACCCUUACUAUAGGGAAGCAAGAAGAACUGGCCUGGCAAUUCUCCACUGUAAACCUAAAACCCUAGCUACUUUACUAGACGCAAAUAAGUAUACUUUUUCACUAACUCCUGCAGUUCAAUCCGGUGUGAAAGCCCUAUUUGACAAAAGAGGACUUGGUAUUUCUUAUACUAGAUGCGUUGGGUGCCGGUGUGAUUCUUUAGUUUGACACCUUAGAGCUACUUGCUUGUCUUAUUAAUACCUGAACCCAGAUCCUGAUCUAGCUUGCUUCUCUUCUCUUGUCGAUGAAACUCAAACAAUCUAGUGAAGUUUUGAUUCUAUAUUUCUCUUGUCUCCUUCUCAGGCUCUUUAGGACUGAUAGUAGUUCCCGCUCUUUCAUUCGGAUAUUGACUUGUUUCAUGAAGUUACUAGGUGUGGUUAGUUACCGAUACUACUACUUUGACUACUACUAGUUCUAUUACUAUAUGCGGGCCAAUCCACUACUACAGUAGCCUAGUAACAGACUUCGGGCUUACUCCUGACUUCGGGCUUACCCCUUACUUCGGUCUUACUCAUUAACUAGUGACUCUCUUCGGGCUUACUCAUAACCAGAGUCUAUCUCCUUCCUCUUCUCCUACUUGUAAACUUAAGACUAACUGUUUUCGGGAGCUCCUCUGUUACUAUAUACUUAGUUCCGGCUCAUCUACCUAUAGUCACUCUAGCCUCUACUUCUUACUGAACUGCUGACCUCAACUUACAAUAAGGGCCCGACCUCUUAUAAGUGCCCUACCCGCACUAACUCUAUCUGACUUGCCGGACCUCUUUUCCUUGGUUGACCACCUAUCAGAUGUUCAUACUUUAUAGUUGACUUAGGUAAUAAAAGUAGUUUACAGAUAAGGGAUAGCCUCUUUCUCUUUUGCCUCUUUCGAACAAGACAGGUAAGGGAUAGCCUCUUUCUCUUUUGCCUCUUUCGAACAAGUAAGAAUACCAGGUGGACUACUGAUCCCGAUCCUAGCUCUUGAAACUCCUAGCUCUACAGCCGCUAUAAUUCUACUCCAGGUUACUUGUAUUUAAGGGUUUUGACGGUUCUGUUCUUCAUUAAAGUUGGCAAUCAGUCUUAUCCUCCUAUUUCCUAUUCUUAGUAUACUACUUUCCAUUCUUCUAGAAGAUUAAUGUAAGCAUUGCUAUCCCUAUACAGUCGUACUUUAUUCUUGCCCAACAUCGAGCCCGAGCUCACUAAGCACAACGGCGAAAGAUGCAGCUGCGACUGACUUUACUUUAACUUGACUUCGAGCUACUUGUACAGAAUAAAUACGAGUUGAGUUAAGUUCCUUCGAGUGUUGUAGUGGAGAAUAGCCCGGAAAGAAAGAUGGGUUCCGGGAAGCUAGGUCCGGGUAUCAUGCUAGUGGUUCUUCAAGUGAAGAGAAAGAAUCAUCCGGUGUCAGAAGAAAGAGAGAAAGAAUAAGUCUUGUUACCGCCCUGAGUGGGUAAGAGGUGAAGUCGAACCAUAAAGAAAUGGGGGUCAAAUGCAUUCUAAGACAAGUGGAUUAGUUUCAAUGAGAGAUUUCCCAUAUAACUAAAGAAAUGAUGUUAUAGUGAACUUGAAGCCUAUAAAGCAGGGCAUGUCUACUUAUGAACAAGGGAUAUGAAACAAUGGAUGAAACGAGAACUACACUUAACUGUGCUAAAGAAGGAAUUGAGUCUGCCCGCCCCGACCUAGACUUGGAGCGCUAACACCUACAUAAGCAAUUGAACUUGCUGCUCCUGACUCAACUUCCACUUAUACUGAAGUUAGCAAAGAAAGAGAUGAUCUUAUAGGUAUAGAUGAAACUAGCACAGAAAGAGGGGAGGCCGAAAACAGUUCAUAGUUGCCGAUAAGAGCAGGGCUUUUUGAACACUAGCUAACCUGCCGCCCAACCCUUGUUUGAAGUCAAAGUUCCCUUACGGAAAUCCUAGCUUAUGAGUUUGAGUAUUGCACACUUGCCUAUUCGUUAUCUUACAACAGGCGCUCUAACUAGCGAAUUAGUAAAUAAAGUAAUUAGUAAAUGCAGAACCCAAAAUCAAAGGGAAGUAAAAGAAUGUAAAUCCGUCACAGAACACAGAGGGAAACUCAUUAAUAUCAGAAAUCCACCCAGCAGUUGUAGUCCACGCCUUAUUACCCACUCCACAGGCCAAGCUUUAUUCAUCAGCUGCCCAAGCCUUAUGUUGUUCACCAGGGACCGAGCCUUACGAAUCCUAUCCGCCAAGCCUUACUCCUAUCAUGCAAAGGACAAGGCCUAACUCCUUAGCUGCAUCCUUCCACUCCGGACUAAAAGCUUUAAUACGAAACCAUAGGCUUAACCCAACAACUAGGGAUCAAAAAAGAAUAGAAAAUAGAAACUUGGAAUUGAACCCGGUACUACUAAGACUAUACUCUACUAUAGGCUGGAGCAGGAACAAGCAAAUAAGCCUUUGAUGCCCCGACCUCUUCUACAGGCGCUAAAGGAGCGAAAGAACCAUCCAUACAAGUAAACCUGCCUACCCGAGUCACAGGCAAUUCUCUACUCUACGGGGAAUAAUAAAGGGAAUCGGCUGUUUAUUAACCUACCCGCUCAGCUUCUAUCUACUUUUACACUGAUUCUCUUGUGGACAACACUGAUUAACUUAUCGCAACACCUACCUCCUUGUUAUCUUAGCUAGCGUGCGCCAUUAGGUGGGUCUUUAUUAUCUUGGGCUUCGGCUUGAGAUACUGAUCCUGCUGUUUACCUGAAUUCUACCCUUACUUUCUUCUUUACCGAUUGAAGCUUCUAGUUCUAGAUACGACAACAAAGGGAAAGCCCGGCAAACUCCAUCGACCGACAAGAACGUAACUUCCCGCUUCGAUUGCAAAGCUUCUGUGAACCUAUAGAAAGAGAAGAUCUCAUUCCGUUCACAUAUAUAAAGAUAUAAUAGAAUUAUGGAGGGGAGCCAAGGAACUACUAAUGUGUAGCGGCAGGAACAACAACAUAGAUGUAUUAUAACUCAGUGAGAACCAAGUCCUGCUUAAACCGACAAAGGAUCCAUAUUUGUUCUAUGCUUAACACAAGCAGAUGACCUAUCCCUCGCAACAAGGUCUUCAACAAGAGCACCGACCUCGACUCUGGCUCUUCCAAAUCUCCCUCGCUACUAAUACUGUUAUGGCUCUGUUACUACUUAGUCCAACAAAGACAUCUGACUUUCUCACUGGAACUGGCUAUUCUCCAUGCCUACCCUAUCUUGCCUACUUCCACUUACAGCAAAGAGCUAACUACUCGUAUACUUGUUUGGGCUGUCAACUAAUAAGAUGGUACUCUCUGGAACCACGCUACCCCUUAACUAGACACAUGGCAAAACAGGACCUACACAAGACUAGGCACCACAAGACCCAACAAAGACUGAUUCCACUAGAGAUUCUACUUUCAGUCAAACAUCCGACCCGACCUCUUAUAACCAGACUUCAGAACCAGAACAGUACUACCGGUAUUCAACAAUACAGGUCAGAAAGAGAAUCAGCUGUGCGAAAGGAAGCUGCCCUUGGGAAGGAACUAACUUGUAGCCUUAACCUUACCCGGCUUGUCUGCUUUUCUGGCGGAGUUAAAGAGGAAAGAGUUAAGAAAAGAGUUCAUGUAAAGGCUUUGAAGCGUGGGAAUAGAAGUUUUCUCAAUAGAGGACUAGUUCAAGUUUUCUCUGUGUUUUAGGUCUACCAUUAAAUAAGGGCAGAGAAGCAAAGCAGGGUGAGUUAAUUCCGUAUACUUGACCUCGAGCAGUCUCAUCAUACUCUGGCGCAUCUCAUCUCAAUGAUUUGUAGCCAGAGGUACAGGGGCAAUCAAUAGUCUAGGCGACAUUCUGAGUGGAAUCAACUAGCAACUACACAUGAAUAGCUUACCAAGCCUACCCGCCAAGUAAGUAAACUAAGUGAGUGAACUACCCGACCCGACCUCGACUCUAACUUCCCUUUCUGACCCGCACUAACUCAUGUAUCUGCUCUAACUGCUUCCAGAGUAGCAAACACUGAUUCAACUCACACUCUUUAAGUACUUACCCGGCAAUUCAAUAAGUAAACUAGAUUCUGUAAUUCCUCCCCACAGACCUAGACCCUGGCUCUUGAAACUAAGUCUGAUCUUUCUACUGCUUCUGAAGUAGCUGGUUCCCCUUUGCAACUGGAACAUAGGCUUUAACAAGGGAUGACACUAGUAGUUGCCUUUCAUAGCUGACCUUGCAACGGGAUAGGAUAGGACUGAACUUAGGAUGAAACUCUGUAUGAAACAAGAACCAGAACAGUGGUAUUCCACUCAAACAAGAACAAGAGCUGGACCACUACUACCGGUCUGAAGACUAUCACUAUUAACUUACAGGAGCUGAAAGCCUUUUCUCUUGACCCUAAAACCUAACUAUGGCUCCUCUCUUAUAGAAUCAGAAUACCUCUUGCUCUUCCAACUCACUGUUUACUUCAUAGCUUCCCGACUUACUAGAAGGGCCUCGACUCUGGCUACAGGAACCAUCCUUUGGCUCAUAUACCGGAAUUAUUAAAACACUCCGACAGUAGGCAAGCAUACAGAUUCAACUCGCCUUUCCACUCCCCUUCCUUUCCUCUCUAGCCCGAACUCUAUUAAAGCUUAGCCGAACUCUACUAAAGCUUAGUUUCAUUCUUGGACUUACUGGUUGAUUUCUCACUUUCUCCUCCGCAUGCCGAUACUGUUACUACUGAGUGCAAUUCUGCCUUUCACUUACCAUAUACACAUAGCUGUGGGGAAAUAGCGGUAAGUGAGUCAAGACUGGUUGGGAGUGGUUGAAGAAUAAGUGGCACUGACUUGGUUCUUAGACUCCUUAGGUUCAUUCUGAGGGGCACUGGUUUGGUUCUUUCGAUACCGAGUGCAAUUCAGUAACUCCUACUUAAACUCAAGCUUGCUUCAUAGCCUACCUCGACUCUGGCUACAAAUACAGAUGAAACAGCCCCAACUUCUAGGGCAACUACUACUGAUGGGACUGCUACUAGUAUUUAUCAGAAUAGAGCCUUACUCUGCUGUCCACUCCCCGAAGUUCUCUUCAAACUUUCACUACUCCCUAUUUGUCUUGCAACCUAUUACCUGAGCCUGUCCUUACUUACUUGAAGUCUAGUCUAUAGCUAUUGUCUUUCAGUCCACCUCUCCCGUAUAUUAGUAUGAAACCAAUGCUACCAACAAUGCUACCCACUACAUGAGACACUGCUAACAAGGUUCGAACCAAUACGACUCGGGCCUAUACUGGGAACUCGGGCUGCCCUAUUGCUUUUAAUACCUUAGCUCGGAACUCGUUCUGCUCUGUAGUUGCUGACUUUUCUUCUUACUCAACUGCUUCUAGGGCUUACUCUCAAGCCUAUUAGUUCCUCAUCUCUUUCAACCUAGCACCACAGCUUCUAAUAACAAAACUCGUAUUCGAAUUUCACUCACUUCAUUAUAUUAUUCAUACGAUCUGGGGCGUGUUCUCAUGCUUUGAGUAUUCUUUAUCAGGUUUGAAAGUUCACCAUCAAAAGUAAGGGUACCUGGCUAAGGAGAAGGAGACUAAUACGAAUAUAAGAAAUAAACAAAUAACAAAUAAGGAAGUAAACUACUAUUAAUUCUAAUGGAAUAAUCAACUUGGGACCUAGCUACUCUUUAGAAGACUUCCUCCGCUAUCAGCCUAUGUCUCUUUGUUGUUCUAAGUCUCCCGAUCUAAUAUCUGUAUUUGUCUCUACCGCUCCUAACACCUAGUACAUCUAUCCUGUCUCUCAGCCUAUAUCUACGGGGGGGUCUAAAGUAUUUCUUGACUUGCUUUGAUUCUUUAACUCAUACUUAUUAUAUCGAUACUCAAAACAGAGAACUCGACUAGUCACUCAGCCCUUAGCUAUACAACUAGUAAACUAAUAUCGAUCAGACUCUUAUUACUUAUUGGCAAGGCAGCUACUACUGACUCUCAGACGCGCAACUCAUCCUAUUAGAAUGGAUCUACUGCUUUUCGUUCUCUAGUUACUGGCUUUUAGUCUACCAUUACUCUAUCUCAUUCUACGACUAAAAACGAUUAGGAUCAAACCUGUGCUACCUAUACUAAAACUGGGAAAUCGACACCACUAAUGGAAAGAGUAAAACAAAGAAAUAGGCUUCACUCACUGGGGAAAGAAUUGAGCUAGCGCCUAUAAGAUUGUAAGUGCAACCUAUCAGACUUCACCCACUUAUCACAGGGCAGCUCUCAAGGUUAUUACUGAACUUAUAUACUGCCGCUACUGACCUUGAAGCUUACCUUCCUCGCUUUAAGUCUCCUAUUUGACCACUAAACCUUAUAGUUGUUCCUGGCCUGGCAUUCUUUUGUUAUGAGCCCCACGCCUACCAAACAGCCCUUUGCUUCAAACUGGAUCUACUUACCUUUAUUCUUAUGUGUAAGGGUGCGCGGGUACCUCUUAUACUGCUAUCGUACUAAACCUACUAUUACUAUAAUGGAACUACUACUGAUAGGACUGCUACUCCUCGAUCUAACUCUGACUGCCUUACCUUUGAGUAUGACUUUCCUGUCUCUAUGGAUACCUCGCAUUCUUUCACUGCUGAUAACAAGCUGCCCUGGCUCACUUGGAUUCUAUAACUAAUUACUUCGAACCGAGUUGGAGUAUCUAACUAAAGCCUAUGAUCCUUACCUGUGCACCUAAUCUUGCUUCUUAGCUAGGGGAUCGGCCCCACCGCUAGAUUAGACUGAAGCUUACUACUAUCAGAAUCAAACCCAUACUUAACAUAUGAAUAAUCCCCACUAGACAGACUUAAGCACCCUAUAGAGAGUAAAGCUACCUACUAGCAGAAUGGAACUAGUCAGUAGAAGGCUAAGGGGUCUCAUCUGUAGUUUAAGAAUCAAACUAGUCAAUAAAGAAAUGAAACAAGUACUACUCAGCUGGAACUGGGCUCUAAUCUACCGACUUAAUAGAAGGUCAACUAACGACUACUGACCAAGGCCUACCUCGACUCAGACAACAAAUACAGAAUGAGAUCUUUCUUGCUGAGCGCCCGCCCUCUACUUAAAGUUCAGAAUGCCAUUGAACCACCGCUCCCUUAGUAUUAUUCUGAACCUCCCUACUAGGCACCAGUGGAUCUUAAGUAAACAAAGAAUUCAUUGGAUCUUCUCUUCUCUGCGACAAACACUCGAAAGAAACUUGUAUGAAGGACAGGCGAAAGAAACAUGUAUGAAGGACAGACACAAGCAAUACUAUUACUAUAUUCGAAUACUCAGACUAUCCAUAUUCUAUUCCGCUAGAUCGUAUAGACCCGGCUAUUCUUAUUGUCUUCCCCUCGCCCACCUCUCUUUAUGAUUUUAUGGCCUCUCUCUCCUCACCAGACUUAAGAACAAGAACAGGGGCAAGCAAGCCUAAUUAAUUCAUUUGCUUUUUCCGAUGGUAAUGGCCUAUUUCCAGUUAGAUUCUCAUAUUCAGUUCCAAUGCACUUUUGAGAUGAAACACAUAUCAUUGACUUGCACCUACCCCAUACCUAUCAGUCGUUCACCAAUUCCUUUCUUAGCUCACAACGUUGCCUUCUCAUCUCUUUUCCUUUGAUUCUUGCCGGCAGUGGUCGGACGAACACAGGACUUGUUUCUAACGAAAACACAGGUUCACUCAGGAAUCAAAUGCAGGUGCAGGACAUGUCAUUUACAAUAGUCCGAGCCUACCCUCUUAUAUACCCAACUCCCCCACGAGCAAGUAAAUCCUCUUCUUUAGUUUUCUACCUUCCCUUCCUUAGAUAUAGUCGUUAAGGUUUGAUUCAAACGUUUUCUACCUUCCGGAAUAAUAUGGUUAGUUGCAGUGACUAGCCUUGCCCACCUCUGUUGGAUUACCCUUCGCCUGCCUCUCUUUUCUUAAAAACUCCGGAGCUGUUUUCCAAUAAGGGCUUUAUUACUAUUUCCCCACAAAAUGAAUGAUUUCUCCUUAUAUAGGAUUCUAGAUAACGGAUUCAACUAGGGAUGACACUAAUGAAACUAGUAGUUGCUUUAUGUUCGAGAGAGACAUCUUUUCUUUGGCUUUUGACCGUGCUCCCGGAAGCUGUGCAAGUGAUGGAUUCCAUUUGACCGCUACAUGGGCUAUCCGAACAAGACUCUGUGCUUCCCGCUUCCCUUAAUUGUCUCCUUGAUACCAGGGAAACAUCAGAAUUAGCUAUGUAUUAUAGAAUGAGGUAACCACCCGCCAAGUAACUACUAAGCACCAAAAACACUUCAUUGACUACUUGCUUCACACAUGCAACUUUUACGAGUCUUUCUUUCCUAUAUUACAGAACAGAGCAGCGGGGUAACAAGACAGAUUCCACAGCUGACCUUGCCUCUCUAUUCUCUGGCAACUGACACUCGGUAUUCCACUGGCAGCUGUCAACUAUACCUCUAGCUCAUCUACUUAUCCUCUGUAAACUCAUACUGAUGAAACUACUAUACUACUUGGACUACUAACCAUACCCCUACGAAAAAGGAACUAAACGACUAACUAGAGAAUGGGGUUCCGCUACCAAUACAAAUAUGGAGCUAUAAUACUUUAACUCAGAAUACAUACAGAACUCAGAUUAAGUAGGCCCACUAACGACUUCACCUCAUCAAUAGGACUUCACCUCAUCCAUAGGAAUUGCACUUGACAAGCAACGGAUUGGAGUUACAGCACCUUAACCUCUACCCGGAAUUGGAUGAAACUACUAGAGCACCGACACUCUCUGUAGACAGAAUGAACAACUCAUUAGUCAAAGAAUGGACAAACAAGUAUAUACUACAAACUAAACAGCGCACUAAGAGACUUAACCACAGAACACAGGCUUAACUACUGUAUCUAAUAUGGUAGCUUGAAAUAAGGACUUUAAUUGCAACUAACAAGAGCCAAGCAACUAAGUCAGACGUUGGGCGGCCUUUGAUACUGCCUUCAAUGUCUAGCUUCAAACUAACUAUCUGACAUCUAAAUCUGACUUUCCUUAUAGGGCUGCCUUUCCCGGCUAUCACUCUUUAUAUCCUAGCUGCUAUUCUUUAGUCUUCUUGUACAUGUCAGUCUUAGAGCGAUCAGUAACUCAGCCUCCAGCAACAUAACUCAUUCCUCAAGUAACAUAAAUGCUUCUUGUCUUGGUGCGUUCUUGCCCCUAUUAGCCUUACAUUCCUUAGUUAGAAUCUUGCAUUCCACCGAGCAACUAAUAGGCCCUAUGUUCUUGUUUCAAACUUUCACUCCUAACUACACAACUCUGAAACUCUUGUCUCUAGGGCUUACCUUCCGAACUCUAAGUACUACUCUCCUGUCUUUCACUCUUGCUGAACCUAUGGAAACACUUUCGUGUUGUAUUGAUACAUAAUAUGAAAAGUCAGUCUGGAACUCUCUGCUUUUGGGCUUACUACUUACCCGCGCCUCUACUCCUUCAACUAGGAACAGUGAAUCGAGGAAUGAAACAACGUAGUCAAAGAAUUCGUUUUGAUAGAAAGGGAAUUGCACUCCGCAGUAAGGAUGCCGAGAUACUCCGGGUUAGGAUAGUAGUACUUACCAGGGGAAUGUCGACCAUCAAGCAAGAAUUGACUAGUUCUUAAAUUCAUAGGAAUAGAGAACUGGGUGAUACAGGAGAACCGGGGUGCUAUGAUAGAACCAAACUCAGUAGUAACAGAUUUGAACUCAGUGUAGAUCAAAGGGAAUCAAACUCAGCUGUCAGGAUACUCAGCAUAGGCCAUAAUACAUAAUUGCUAGUACAUAUACGGGGUAUAGUAUAAGAAUAUGGGUACGCUCUAUCGCAUCUACUAAUAGGAAUAGAGUAGCCCAAGCCAACUACCACCAUUAUUAGACUCAAAGAAUUGAUCUAUAAACCGGGAAACCAACUACUGAUAACAGGGCUUUCGCUACCGGAACCAAACCUUGCGCUACAGCCUAUGAUACGGAUUUUCCCGACUACUGGUCUAUGCCCCAUUCUGAAACUACUAACUAUAGGUCCCACUACUUCAUCUAAUCCUUAUAUUAGAGGUUUGGGCUCCCUUUCCUGUCCAUAGGUCUACUUUUUCUUGGAAUUAGUGCCAACAAUAACUCAACUUCGCAUAUGAUGGAGCACAUCUAGGAUAAGAGGGCUAGACCAACCUCAAAACUGGCAAUCCAAUACUGCCUAACAGAAGACUAUAGCUCUGAAACCGGGAACUAAACUACGACAUAAUAAGAAGAAAAGCAUAGAAAAACGAAUUGAAACCGGUACUUGUAAGGUUGGGUAUCCCUACUCUGAAUAGAAACCGGGCGCAUGAGACUGGCACUACUUCUUUCUAAUACUAAAACAAAGAAUAGGUUGAAUAAUGAGUUAUGUUUACUUCAAUUUCAGAAUAGGUUGUGCUACUCAAAGACUUGCUUCCCGGGGGGACAAGUGAAGAGUGCGGGAUGUCGACCGAAGACUGAGUUACCCGACCUUUCUUUGUGACAGGCAGAAUGCCCCUAAGAUCAUAGGUUAGUUAGUUUCAAGAGAGAGCUUAUAGACUCUAAUACACUCCUGUUCGUUCCUGCUCCGCUAUUGAUUCUUCAAAGCAUUGUUUUGACUCUUUAUUCUACUUCUUAUUCUUUGAUUUAAUAACCCUUUCCCUCAAGCUAACUCUCUUUCUGGUCUACCGGGUUCAUUGAACUCAACUAGGAACUCCGCUACUGCUUCUAGGGCUUACUAUGCUUAUCGAUCGCAAGUAUGAUUCCUAUACAAAUAAGGUGCUGAAAGCCUACUGAAAACAAUGCUCGAACUGUGAUCCUUGAUCUAAAUCAGUAUUGAUGUGAUGGUGCUUUCAUCUGUAUUGAUGGUGAUGGUGCUUUCAUCUGUAUUGAUGGUGCUUUCUUUCCGUAUUAUCUUUCUUGAAUGACUUAUUGAAUUAUCAUUAUGAAACUUCCUUGUAUUUGCUUAGCGAAAUCAGGUUAAUAAAGGCAAUCGGCCAAGCAGCCUUAAUAAGUAAGUAAAGUCACUACUAGACAAGACGACAAGCCACUACGCCAAGUAACUACUAACGGCCGCCAGUGUGUUUGGGCGCGGCAGCGAGUCCAAGGCAGAAACUCCAGAGGUAUUUCUAACGAUAUAUAACUACAGAUGUGUUUGGUGGCGCGGCAGAGGGUAUGGAGUCAAUCGAGAACCCCUUUUUGCUCUAGUUAUGCUAAGAAAACCACUAAUAUUGAUUAUAUAAAUUGACUUUCCAUACAAUUAGUCUGAUACUAAUAUGGGCAAGGCUAUAGCUCUAAGCUGGGAAUACACCUACUACUGAUGAGACUGCUACUGCUUUAAAGAAUGUAACGGCUACUUCUAAAAGUGGAGCUGGUUCUUCUUAUAGUUUAAUACAACUGCAUGAGUUAUAAGAAUAGACUAGCACCUAAUAAACAACAGGUUCCCUGAACACUUCCAAGACUGAACUAGCUAAUGGAAAGAGUUGCACCAGUACCGAUAAGAGCCUAAGCCCGGAAACUCAUUUGAUUUAUUGACCUAUCCGCUCUACUGCACCUUAGCCUACUACUACCACCUACCAGUCUGUUACUCUUUCCCUUACCUCAAAUCUAGUUCAUGAACAAUGCAUGGUCAGCCUUCCACUACCUUCUCUAGGCCCGGCACUGCUUUAUCUCAGUAUACAUCUUCCCUACAUUAGUAUGCUAGUACUGCUAUUAUGUCAACAACCACUAGAGAAAAAUCCGUAUUCCCAUCAUCAGGACUAGACCCCGCCCACCAAUACAACAGAAUUGAGCUCAGAACUAGUACUUAAACACUCCCCUAUUAGAUUGGAACUACAUCUUCUCAUACCUUUUUGAUUACUCAUGCAUAAACUCCUCCGCUACACAUUAGGUUAAGCUCGCUGACGCUACACUCUUUUGGUGUUUGGAAUAGCAUGUGUUACGCGCCAAGACACGGAUAGACGACAAACUGCCUUAAUAAGUAAGGGCAAGACACUAGGUCCGAACUACUAAGUACAAAGCAUUGAACAGGUGUCAACAAGACUCCGUUUUAUGGACGGGGAAUACAACACUGCCCAGCAAGACUCUAGCUCAUAACAAGGCUCGAACCGAACUGCCUGCCUAAAGCCUGUGACUGCUAUUAAUAAGGAUGCAGUUCAAACUACAAAGAGUACAACUCGGUAAACCAAGCCUUACAACGCCCACAAGUAUACUAGAGAAAAUGAAAAAGCCCUAUACCAUUCCUUUCUCUACCUGCUGGACAAAAACCCAUUCCCUAUUAGACUUUUAAAGCUUAUGCUCCUUGCUUUUAUUCUAUCUCUACACACCGAUCUCCGCCUUACUCUCCUGAACUUAUACUUGGUCCAACAAUACUUUCACUUAUAACUUGGAAUUGAACCAAUGCCUAACAUACUUAAACAUGGGCAUACGAGAAUAGAGACCCCAGCAAACAAGACCUAUACUCAAAACUAGGGAUCGACACCACUACUAAAAGAAAGAAAUCUGGAACAAUUCUGAAACUGCUACAUCGGAUCUUGCUCCACCAUAGCCAAGGGUACCUCUCACGCCUCUUGCUUAAAGUGCGAAUUGGCGCUAACAGCCUUACCCGGUCUUAACCUUGCGAGUGUUUUGGCGCUUGGCGAAUUCAAAUCAACAGUAUAAGAACUCGAUCUGUGGUAGUAAGUCAAAGAAUAGAUUCUAGAAUCCAGUAGUAGAGGCCUUGGGUUGCCGAUAAGGAUUGAACUCAUCAGUAACGGAAUCAGCAAGCGGGAGCAGAGGGGCGGGCGGAGGACCGGAUCCGCCAUUGAUUGUGACUUUCGAUUGUGAGUGAAAGUAGAACUUGUUAGUUAAGGAACCUUGCUGAGGACAGCGGCAGCAUCAAACAAAUAAGUAGAAGCACGAUGCUGGAAAUACAGAAUGCUGUUGGAAAAGGAUACGCCGAAACACCCCUAUUGUAUUGAUUGACACCUCUAUAUGGGACACAACACAUAGUCACUUAUGUAGGUAGGGUUAGGCUGACAUCGCUCAGUCAUUGAAGGGAAAUCACCCAUGCAUAGAAAGGUAACCAGGCGUAGAAGGUAGUAAAGUCCCCUGGCAAAGGUAGUAUCGUCCCCGGUCAACGAGAAAUGCUAGUAUCAAGUUGGAAGCUAAUAAGCAAUAGAGUUAAUAAAAAGAGAGUGAGUUUGGUAGUUAGUUAGUUCAUAUAGGCUGUUUCUCAAUAGUGCCUUUCUAUUAGGUAGUGUUUCAACCGGGUAGUUAGUACAGAAAGAGUCAAAGCAUGGAGCGGGAGACUUAGAUCUAGUGGAUAAGGGCUUAGAUCUAGUGGAUAAGGGCUUAGAUACGGGAUAGACAGACUGAUCGUCAGGGUGGUACGAGUGAAAGAAGUGAGUCAAAGACUUCAAGGCAUUAGUGGGUUUCUCACAAGUACUGGUUGCAUUCCAGGGUUCGCCCCUCAGUCUCUUGCUUUAGGAAGAUAGUAUGUCUCUACUUGUGAUUGGUCUUACUUAAAAAUGUAUCAUAUCAGUUUGACUUGACCUUGCUUUCUUCCUUCAGAGUUAACUUCUAAUAAGAAUAAGGGUACUGCGAUGUAGUGCAUCUAGUAUUAAAACACUACGAUACUACUAUUAAGGAUGCCAGGAACAACUACAAGAAUAGAAGAAAGAAUAGGGAAUUACCUUAGUAAGGGCAGGGCUUCGACAGAAUACAAAGGAUUGAGUUCAUCAGUAGCAGAUAAAGCAUAUAUGACAUUAAACUAAGUGAAAAGAAUCAUGAAUAUGAGAAAAAGGAAUAAGGCAUUAAAGAGCUAGCUACAAUAAUAAAAGAAGGGAAGGAAAGUCAUAGGUUUGCAAUGAGAAAUAAGCCUUAAGGAGAGGAGCACCAGCUUGAAAGAAUGACAGAUAAUACUGAUUGAUAUAUAGGGUUGGGGAGCCUUUAGAGACAGAAAAGGCGGAUUUAGGUUCAGUAGUGGUAAACUUAUAGGUGAGGCAAUAAGGCUUGGCACGUGUAGGUGCUAUAAGGCUGGCUUGGCCUAGAAACACAUAGUCUUACGCCUAACUCGCUGACGCUAUUAAUUAGGACUUGGUAACAACUAACUAACACCGAAGACAGGAACUCACGUUAGCCAUGAAGACAAGACAGGACAGGACUUAGGAUGAAACUGGAAUAGGCCAUUCUCCCCUGAACCCAGCUUUCUUUGCAAAACAAACUAUUCCUUCAGUAGCUGGCAUAGGUGUUUAAGGAGUAGAAGCCUACAGAUCGGUCGCCGACAUUAAGUAAACUGUGUGACAACAUGAAAAACCAAAAGCUCUCCUCAUUCCUGAGAGAUUAGAUGAGAAAGAAAGGAAGCACAAAGCAGAGGAGUUACGAAUCACCGGUUUAAGCUAUUCUUGAUGGAUCUUCUUUCCGGUGAAGGCGAUGUCCCCUAUAAAAGAAAGCGGAUGGGGGCCUUUAUUUGAUUUGAGUAGAGGUAACGAGAGAGCAAGAAGCUUGAUGGAAUGGGCCGAGCCAAAUGAGCGAGCCCUGACAUGAGGAAUACGACUUCCUAUUCGAUUUUUCUGGUCAAGUGGACGAAAAGAGCGAGUCUAGUAUUUUUUCCAACUCCCAUUUGUGUUUUAGUUCUAUUGGGUGUACAUUCAGAGAUGACGGAGUUUCCAGUUAUGCCAAAGAGCUCUGUGACAUUUCAUCUUAGAGAGCAAGUAGAAUAUCUCCUUGUUACUGAUGGGGAAUUAUUGGUUAGCCCUAAAGAGAUAGACGUGAUAGGGUUUGCUGCCCGAAUUAAGGUAGUUCGGACCCAGGUAGACUAUGAAUCAAUCCUCUGCUCCACUCAACACCUCUGAAGCAAUGAGAAAUCCACUUGGCGCCAAUGCUACGAAUCUUCCACUGGCCUCCAUUAUUGAUGCCGGCUAUGAAGGCUCUUCUGGAUCUCCAACUGGUACAAAAGAAGCUAUGUCUCCAGCUCUGCUCUCUAUCGGUAGUCCAAUCCGUACUUUGUCAUUACCUGUCUCUGUCCAUGCCCUAACACUCGGGAAGCUCUCCAACAACAACGGAAAGGGUCCGCACUCUACUCAGGGAAGAGCAAAAUCAAUACAAAUCCAAAUCUCCAAGUAUUAAGAUCAAGAGUCUCGUUCCGCUGCUCUUAUGAUAGUGACGAAACUCGCUCAGAACUUCAUUAUUAUAGGAGAAGUAAUAGCUACAUUGAAGUCAACGCAAGCACUGGAGGAACAGUGUUUUCUCAUAAAGGGUUUCGACAAGCAAAUACUACAAAUCUUCGUCUUCCAAUUGAAAGAUUUAAGUAAUAACUCAGAUAAGUCAUACCUACUAGUAAGGCAGAGCUACUAUCAACUCAUAUAAGCUGGUAGGAUUAAUAACUUACAUGCUAUCGGUCCCUUACUCUCUCUCUCGCCUUCCUCCGAAUAGGGCUUAACUUUAGAUUAGAAUAGGCUCAUUCUUUGACAGAUUAGUCAGAUAUAUGAACCUUUGUGCUCCAACUUUGAGUCUUCCCUAUGUCUGGUCUGGAUGGCAUUUUCUUCUUCCAAAGGGGGGUCGCUCCAAUGGUGCAAUUUCUUUCUAGUGCUAUUUGGAAGUUCGAAUAAGCAGAUUUGGCGAUUCUCUUGGUUCCUGAUUGAGAUCUCCCUAUAGUAAGUUGUAUAGGUUUGGGAAAUCCAUUUGCCAUGGUCUGGUCUAACUCUAUAGAUUUGUGAUGAACUGGAAAGAAAGAGAGAAGAGGAGCUUUAUCUGAUCUCGAAAUCAGUCUUGGACAGGCCAAUCACGAAAGAAGCACACAAAAGAAGCACACAAAAGGCAUAGAAAGACUCACAUUGGCGGAUUCCGGGAAUUUCCCUUGCUUUCCAGAGAAGUCGAAGAAUCACUAUUAGCUGAAAAAGUAUAGAAUAUGGAUCCCACCUGUCACGAAAGCUAUAGAAAAGACAUCCCUUGAAUACACAAACCGAAUCAUAUCAUGGACAAGGAAGGGGCAAGGAAUUAGGGUUUAUAGAAGCACAACUGGAAACUGGUGCUAAUAAGAAUGGAACAAAGUAGUAUAAGCCUAUGAAACCCGGACCCAAGACUCAUAGUUAUUGCUGUAGUGAUAAGGAUGAAACCAGCUCCUAUGGAAUGAAACCGCCGCUAACAAGGAUUGAACGGGGACACCUAAGUCUGACUUACUUACAUCUAAAUCGAACUUUCCUUGCUUUCGUUCUUACUUUCAUGCAUCUUAUUCUGAAAUUGAUUACUUGAGCUCUGUAACUAAUGUCUGGUACCCUUCCUUCUGAGAUUGAGCCUACCUCUCUUAGUAGUAGUUGAAGUAUGAUCCCUAUACUAAUAAGCUCUUAUACGUAGUUGAAGUAUGAUCCCUAUACUAAUAAGAAGAAAAACACAGAAUUGGGAAUUUCUCCACUAAGUGGAAGAUCGAAGCACUGCACUAUAGAAUUGAACUGUGCCCCACAAAUCCUGACUUCGCUAACUAGCAAUUGAACCACUGCCUGACAAGCAAGAAGAAAACUAGGCGCUAACGGGACGAAACCGCGACAUAUAGAAUUGCACCUAGCUGCCCGAGCCUUACUUACUACCAGGAAGCUCAUAACUCAUAGUAUACCUUGUCAUUUUGCUAUUAAUUACUAUUAUUCUAUUACUUAUACUCUAUUACCUAGUAGUUUGUCUGUAUUACUUAGUUGUGUGUCUGCUUGUUAGUGACUUGGCGACUGAACAUUCGCACAACCAUAGAAAAUGAAAUGAGAAAAAUAACCACUGUUUUUGAGAAAAAGUAGAGCUGGGUUUUGCUCUAAUUACUAGAAGAAACCCAGUGGAAUUACUAUAAGCAAACUCAUAGCAAAUAUGAUAUGAAAAACCUAUUGCCUAUAGUAUGAGAAUGAAUUAGAACAAUAAGAAUAAGAGGUAUGUUAUGUCGAACAAUAAGAAUAAGAGAUAUAGUUCUUGAAGGUAAGUUUCGAGGUAUAGCUCUGGAAGGUCAGUUUCAAGUAAGUAUAAUAAACAAAGAAUAGAGAUGUGACUUAACGAAUAGGUAUGUUACGCCACCGACAUAUAAAUCAAAAAGGAAUAACCAUUGUACUUUUGAGACCACGGUUCCCUAAGAAAAUACAGUCAAAUAAUAAUCAAUCCUAUAUAAGUGAACUGUAAUAAUCAAUCCUAUAUAAGUGAACUGAAUGUAUGCUACUAAUUACCUCAAUGCCUUAUGCUCGAGAUCUGGGCUGACACCCGGAACCACCCACUCCUUAUUUCACCUAUGAGCUUGCCUUGUUCUUAUAUGAGAAUUGGGUCAAGUCGGACUAAAAGCAUGGAGUUGAAGAACCCGAGUUGUAAGUUGAAGAGCGAAAGAAGGGAUAUUGUUUUCAGGUAAGGCGGGGCUUGGACUUACCACAGUGAAAUUCUGAUAAGUAUAUUCAUAUUCUUUAUUAGAUGCAGUUUUCUUAGAAGCUGUAGUGAGAGUAUGAUAUCGAAUACUCCAUGCCUUACGCUUACCCUUACGUAGUUGCUUGUCUAUACGCUGCUUGUAGAGUUUCAGUCUCCUCCCUGACUUCGUCAGUUCACUCUUUUACCGUUAAGGACGAUUAUGCCUUCCUAGGGGAACUUAGCAUUCCUUAGACUACCAACCCUAAUGCUGUUACUCAUAGAUUGAGUUCCCAUGCUACUGAGUUUCAUUAUAUUACUUACUAUAUUACUUACUUGACUUACUUGCUCGAUCCUUGUACUGAACCUAAUAAGUUCAUUUCUUAGCCAGGGUACACUUACCUUAUAGCGAAACAACAGAUCUAUUGUUCAAGAGAAAACAACUUGCUGUUUUUAGACGGAGUUUCCUUCAUAAACCACUCAUCAAUAUUAGAUAAAUGAACUUUCAAUACAAUUAAGAGAAUUAAUAAAUAAGGGAAUGUUUGAAUUAAGAGAAUUCAUAAAUAGGGAAUGUUUGAACAAUCAAUUAAAUAAAGAAGAAUUACAAACAUGGAUAACAGUUUGGAAGCAGUACUCAUAAGAGAAUGAAAAAACUAACAAACAAAUAAGAGAAUGAAAAGAACAACUACAAGAGCGAAAGCCAGGAGAGAGGCGGGCCAAGAUACAGGAAAGGCUGAGUGAGAGUUGAGCUAAAGAAAGAAAGUCAGAAUGGGUAAACUCAUAUCCGAGGGCGUGGUGCAGAGUUCCCAACCCUGUUUUCAGAAGGUAGUAAGCUUAGAGCUAGUAGUUGCUUGUCAAGUGCAAUUCCUUUUUGUUAGUUACAUCUUUGUUAUCGGUGACUUAAGCCUGUAUUCGUUGCUUGGCCCUUACUUUACAGUCAAAGAAACCAACUACUUAUUAGCAUUCCCAUCCUCUCGUUUCAACAACGAACUCCUGUCUUUCGGGCUGUAACUGCUGUUUUAGAUACUGGAACUCGCUGCUCUAAGGCGGGAACCACUACCAAUAAUCAAUGAGCGGGGGCGCUUCUCAUGCUUUCACUGCUGCUUCUCAGAACCGAGCUGCCGAUAACAAGAAUCAAUCUACUGAGAACAAUAAGGGAGCACCUCCUAUUGAAUAAACCUAAUAACUCAUUCCUCGACUACUUAACCUAACUCUGACCGGUCUGCCUCUAACUCAUAUUCUGAUUGUCCUUGCUUGAAAACUAGCACUCCGGUCUCUAAGGCGAACUUCACUUUCUAUAGAGCUGACUUUACAUAAGUAGAGGACCGAACACUGCCUAACGGCUUAAGCGCAUAAAUCAGACGAAAACUCGGAACUCAGACUCGCUUUACUAACCUGAAAGCAGUCCUUGCUCACUUGCUACCUUACAACUAGAGUAUAGAACACACGGGAACACAACUCUACCUAUUAGAUUGAAAACGAAACUUAUUAGAAUAGAACUAGCAAAAGAAAUACAGGAAGGGGCUAAGUCAAAGAGUGGAACAAGUGUUAAGAAGACUGCCGCGUAAACGAACACAACAGGCGUAGUAACAAAUACAGAACUACAUUAUCCGAAUUCCCGAACUGUGCAUUUAAUAAGAAACAACAACUAAUACGUAUUGUAAAGUAGCUCCUUAUGUCUGUUGUAUUCGGCAGUUAAGCUCGUAGCAGUUACUUGGUGAUUUGAAACAAGUAAAGUAAGCCUAACUGUUUCAACUACAAAAGCCAAAUAAGUGAUGUUUGUUUUAGUAAGUCAUGUUCGUUUUAUAGCUAGGGGCCAGAUCCAAUGUCAGUGUUUAAAGAAAGCAAAGUUAGGGAAGGGCAGCUUCUAGGUCAAUUGCUAAGGAAUAAAGGUAUUGAUUGUAAGCCCGAGAGACGGGAAAGAUAGAGUUAACCAGUUGGAAAGGAAUUAGGUGAAGUAAGGGCUCUGGCAGGCUAAUAGGCUUUGUCAAGUAAUACCACUGAGAGACAGGAUCGGGUCACUCGAUAAUUGCUAUGAAUAGCAGCCUUUGCAGUAGUAGUUGGCUUCCCGGUUUCUAUUGAAAGUAUUAGAAGCUUUAGUAGAAUUCCCGGUUAUGAGAACAGGUAUUAUCAGAACACUAUUUUCUUCUUUUUAUCAGUAGUUUGUUUCUUACGGUUGUUGUCAAUUCCGUAUUUGGAUACUUUGAUUCUUCUCUUACUUAGCUUUUUCACCCAUGAUUCUAUUACUUAUCCAUUAUUCUCUGACUUUGCUUUGGAAACAAUUCUGAUAUUACUAUUUGAAACCCAUUUCAUUAUUAUAUUCAAAUGAAUUCUUCUCUUACUAUUACGGAGCUCUAGAUCAUACCUAUUAUUCUCUCUCUGACUUUGCUUUGUUUGGAACCCAUGAUUCUAUUACUUACAAUUAUUCUUUUCUAUAGAAAUAACUAUUAUUCUUUUCCUUAGUUGUUUGUCUGCGUGUUAGCUACCUGGUAUUCUUUUCCUUAGUGGUUUGUCUGCUUGGCCCAGAGAUUCUUAUUCUUCCUUGACUUGUGAUCAAUUAGACAAGAGGUCAAUAUCCUUGUGGAUGCCUAAAGAAAGAUAUCGGCUACAAAUCCAAUGGAAGAUGGCGACUCAUAGUUCAGAGGAGCAGUUUGGGUCUGGUGAAGACGAACUCCCUACAGGAAAAGAUUAGGCCCUGAACAAAUACCACUUGUUGAAUCGAGAGACCCCUACGGAACAUCUGGUAAACGAAGGUCUUACUCAAUCGUAUCGAGACUAUGCUGCUCACUUAGACGUUCUCCUCAUUCUAGGUAAUAAGAUCAUAGCGGUAGCGGAAGCUCUUGGGUUAAUGACUGGUCCUAUUGCUAUUUCAUCAUCUCUUAUAAGGCCAAAUGCCACAUCAAUCAGUAAGAGAAGUGGGAAAAAAAGACAGAAAGAAGCUAUACUAACCGGUACAGGUAGUGGUAUCAUAGAAGUCAGCGCUGUUGUCAGAAGGACUAAAUGCCUAGAGUCAACUGCUGGUGGUUCAGGAAGUUCAUCUGAUUCAUCCAACUAAGGAAGUUCAUCCUAUUCAUCCUAUAAUAAGAUGAGAUGGUACGAAAGGGAUUCAUCGACAUCUGAAUGCAUUUGGAAACCUAUGGCAGAUCCUCCUUCUCAGUGCAUGAGGAAUGAAAAGCGGAAAGAGCUUCUUAGUGGUUCAAAUAAUUCCGUUUCUCUUUUUCCUCUCCCCAGAGCUUAUGAGUGCACAAGAGCGGAUAUGCUUAAGAUGUAGCAGGGGAUAUCUUAUUCUAGCUUUAGUUUAGUUUGGAUAUCUUAUUCUAGCUUUUAUAGGAUUAUUAUAUCUUUGAUAGGAUUCGAUGCUUUCUUCUCUUAUAUGUGGCAUUACCGGUCUUUGCAACAAGGGCUGAGUAAGUUGAGGCUUUGCUUUCUCUUGCCAACUAUUCUAUCUGGGGAUGAAUCUGCUCUUAGGACAACUAGUUGGAAGGUGCGUAGCGGAGUGAAGUCAAAGUCUGAUAUAGGAAAUACAGAUCCACAGCCAACUCAAGACGAGUCAGUUGAUUACUUUAUCCAUAUACCGAGUCAGUUGAUAAGAUCAUCAGUCGAUUAGCCGCCAUUAAUCUGAGAUGAGUGAAACCUUUUCCUUCUUUAUGAGCCUGCCUUCUAUCGAUUGGAGGGGAAUGACUAAUGUAUCCCUCUGAGUUUUCCAGUCUACUUCUCCACUUCACUCCGCUAUCAUCUAUUUUAAUACAACAUGUUUCCGGCUGCUAUCUUUCUAAGUGGGAUUUUCUCUUUUGUUUAGUCCAAAUGUUGCGGAUACGGGAUUCGAACCCUAAACCUCAAAGUAAUGAGCCUUGCGAGCUACCAAACAGCUCUACUCCGCGAUGAACUAAUGAACAAGACAACUAGGCUGGCGUGGCGGACACUAACUUGAUAGAAUUCUUUCUCAACUAGUAGCUAUUUCUCGUUGAUCUCUUACAGGCCUUUUGGCCUAAGGCAUUCCAGAAUUACCUGCACGAUAGCGAUAACGAUGGAGCUCCACUGGACUGUCAACGGCAGAAUCCAUAUUGAAAACCAACCUUGACAAUCGAAGUGAUGAGUCAUUGGUUCAAAUCCAAUAGUUAUGAGUCAUUGGUUCAAAUCCAAUAGUAGGUAGGUAGCACUUCUUAGAUAGGAAUGCAUUACUGGGGCGUGACGAACUCUCAACUCACCCAGUACUGGACUAAACAUAUGGCUAGUGAGACUCCUAUUUAACUAGCUAGAUCUAUGGUCGGUAUAAGACGGAGAAUCUGUCAUUCCAGAGGUGUCAUCCCGUCUGGUCCAUUCUCAAAGCUAGUGAACUUUCUCUUAUAUACGCGAAUUCUAUUUCAUCUACGCAAAUUAAGGCGUUGUUAGGCUCGGCUCGGGUAAGAAAGAGCCAGGCAAUAAAUCGACAGAAUUAGCGAAUAAGAUGGCUUACGACUCAGAGACGAGCGAAGGCUCGGAAUCCUCAACUUGGUGUAGGGGCGAUCAUUAGAUUUUGUAUCUCGGAGUGGUCCAAACCAGUGAGCUAUGAAGCGGCCUUCCUUCACAACAAAGGUACAACAGAGGCUUUUACCUUUCAACGCUAUUUACAUAGAAUAAGUGAACGGGUUCAAGCCCUAAUCCAAGCACCACUAUCUCUUCAACGGGAAAUGGCACCGAAAAUCUAAUGUCGAAGAGCUCAAGCUAAGUCGACCGAAGCGAAGGUUUUGCCUUGAUCGGACCAGUACUUUACGAAAUGCCUUCGGGUGGGCGAGGAGCGUCGCAGUUCUUAAAGAGUGACAGAGUUUUUACGGGUAGCGAGUGCUUUCCUCCAGAGUGAUGAAUUGGCUAGAGGAUGUGGCUUAAUGGGUUUUGGAUAGGCUCCUAAUGCCAGGUUGAUCUGAACAUAUCGAUACUGAGCAGCUACAACCAAGUUCUUCAAGUCAGGAUAGCUACUACUAGAGAAAUGAGUUUCUAUUAGGCAUCCUAACAUGGCUUCUGUCCACCCGAGAUACCAUUCCAUUUCCACAUUGAUUUGGCUGGCAGCCCGCAUGAGACAUAUAAAUGAAUUACCAGAAUGUGACCAAAAACAUCUCUUCGGCCGGAUGAAAUGAAAUCACUGAAGUCCGCCCUGCCAAUCAUCCAAUAGUAGUUGAUUAUGACCAGGAAACCUAAAGAAGUAUCAUCGAGCAUCUUUUCCUUGUUUGAGGGUCCCUUCACAACACUACCAUUCGGACAGGCAAGGCACUAACUUCCUUAACGGGCUUAGAACUGAGAUAUAGACUGAGAAAUACUUCUACAGGUAUCCAAAAGUGCACUUUGCUUGAAUUCCUUUUGCUCUAAGUAUACACCGCCAGUGAUUACGGACAAAGAAGUAGAUGCUCAAGCCAGCCCGCAAUAGAAUGAGUUUGGUACGCCCCGAACGGAACUAUCAAACUAUAAGAAGGGGAUAGCUUAUUCAUGAGCUCGAUAUGGGAGAAUACGAGGAUUCCAUACCGUCUAUAAUGGAAUAUGGAAAUCCAUAUGGUAGCCGUCAGGUAGGAGCUGUGAUCAAAUGAACCGGUCGAGUAGAGCGAGUUGAGUGCCCUUUCCAGGUAUCGUGAAUUAUGAUCUGAUGUUGGGGAAAUUCCAAUCACAUUAUCCGAGCUGUUGUGCCUAAUGUCUUUCUUAGAUCCUAAGGUCCUUUCUUUUCUUAGUCCUGAUUGAGGUUCAGAUGUUGCCCGAUGCCAGCAGUGAAUUGAUAGUAGUGAUCACGAAACGUUUUGGAUAACUCAUGAUGGCUACCCCCGGUCCCAUUCAAUGCUUGAAGGAAAGAUUCUCCAGUGAAAGCAGCAGUGUAGUGAUUGGGCCAGGAAAUUCAGGUUCAAUAAUAGGACUAAUUGAAUCAGCAGGUUCGUUUAGUCCGUAAUGAGAGACCCGUUUCUUUUUCUCCGAUGAGUUCUAAUUAGGGUGGUGUUCAACGAAUCGAAAAGCUAAGGUUUCAAUUCAAACUGUUCAAGUCGGUUAGGCGCAAGCAAUAAGGGAAUGCAUUCUUCCAGGCGGAAGCCCUUUGGUAUGAGCGAUCCCAUUUUCAAAGGCUUUCAGCACCUUGCUUGUUGGAGUAGCUCGCCUGUUGGGAUCAAAGUAUCAUUCUCGAACGUAGGUUCUCUUGUCUCUGUCUUCCCAAGGCCUUCACUAUCCUCUUUAACUGUUGACCGUAACGUUGUAUCAUUAAGAUCCAUUUCCCUAUACUGGGCGUGAAAGCACUAUCUGUUAGUUGACUACCAAAAUCAAGCAAGCCCUGACAAGCAGCGCCGAAACAAGAACACGGUUAAUACAGUAGUAACGAGUAAUAAGGAGAUCUUUUUAGUACGAACAACGAAGGAUCUCUUUGAAGGCAAACUUGGAAGCGCAUCCAGGCAUAGGAGAACGAUUGAGAAUAUAUGGUACUACUCAUCAAUGCUGCAGGUAAGGGAAAAUGCCGAAGCCAUUGUUUACUGCCGAUAACUGCACAUUUUCAAUCUCGGGUUCAAUAAUCCAUCCACUCUUUCUUUUUAGGAAAGCUGACCAAUUAGGAAUUGUUGGUUUUUCGCUCCUCCAUAAGGUUAGCUUUCUUAGACAAGGUUGAUCACUAUGAUCUUGAGUUAUUCUGUGGGCAGGGUCGAACCCAUAGAGAGAGUUGAAAGCUCUGGGUGUGGAAGCUGUUCUUUCCCCUAUAUUGCCCACGUAAUUGAUGUUGAAAUGCAUUUGAGCCGUAUUACAGUGACCUAUUGCUAGAUGCACUCAAUUCUAUUCAACAAGCUUUAGUAAUUUGGAUUACAUCUCCCCCCGGUAAUACUAUAACACUUGUAUCAUAUACACCCCCAUAGCAUUAAAUACUCGAAGAAAAGAACCUAUACCUAACAACCAAAUACCCAUCUUUCAUAACCGAAGAAUGUCAAAGAUGAUUCUUGAGUCUCAGGUCCCAUAAGUGCAUGAUAAAUACCGCCAAAGUCCAAUACAGCAGACAAAGUAUGGAAAGGUGUCUAGAAUCUCCCCUACUGGCCCUACCCCCUUAACCUAGAUCCGGGAAGUCAAAUUCAUCCAAAACUAUAGAUCUCGUUAAUUCAAAGGAGGAGCCGAGCCCAUUCUAUAAGGAAGAUGAUAGGAAGGCAGGCUGCAUAUAUAGUGCUUCUUUGUCUUUCCCAUCCCUGCUGCUUGCUACUGCAGGUGCCCGGAAUUAAUGGAUUCUCUGGUAUAGUGGAGGUGUUGCGCAGUCUGGUUAGCGCAUCUGUUUUGGGUACAUAGGGCCAUAGGUUCGAAUCCUGUCCCCGCCUAAUAACUUUAGAUGCAAGUAGAUUCUUUCUUUUUCGCGUAGAGUCGAAAAUCCCUCAUAGAGAAUAGUCAAAAGCGAGAAACACCUGAGCAAGCAAGCUGUCUUGACUUUCCAAAUUGGAUGGAACUGUCCUUGUUUGUUUAGCCUUCUUUUCUUUAUUCAUUCCGCGUAUGAUGUGACUGGUUCGCUAGGACCAACCAGGAGCUAGCUAUCGAAUAAGGGAUAAGACUUUGAUUUGACCUUAGCUAGAAGGCAAAUAUCCAUCCUUAUCCUAAAUACUAAACUAAGGCUUCUGCUCUUUCAAAAGCGAGUUUGAAGAUAGAGUAUCCCUUUGCUCGACUCCUUCCUUCAAGAGGCAGGCCCCUUCUUUGGCCGAUGAAUCGAUGUACCGAUCUUCCCCUUAGGCUUGUCAAUGGAAUGGUAAAUGCUAGAAGGCUAAGAAAGCUGACCAUAUACUGAUUGCUUGAUGGGGGCAUUGAUCCAAGGAGAGAGUGAUGCCCCACGAGGCCCAUCGAUUAAGUUCAUGAAUUUGACUUAUUGCCUUCCUUUCAAGGAAGGACUUACUAGGCUUUCAAUGCUAUGCUUUCUUCUCUUUUCACUAGCCAUAAGCUUCGCAAAAUACGUACCAUCCUCACUUUGACUUAUCUUCUUUGACUUAUCUUAUCCUAUCUCCUACUUCCUGCAGGCAGAGAGUUUACAGGCAUUUUCAUGUUACUCUUUCGUCAAUCAAGGAUGCUUCUAGACUAGGGCAAGAAGACUCUCGUAUCUCAAAGUACAGUGGUGAAUAAAUCACUAUAUCUCCUGUCCUAUAAGAAGUUUCGCUGUCUUUAUCUUCCUUCCCUAGAAACUAUAGUUCAAGCAUUUUACCAGAGCAUGGGAGUGACCACAUUAUGGAGAUCGAAGCUUCUGCCAAAUAAAUGAGUGAUUACUAGAUAUAUAUACAACGAUUAGGAGAAAACAUCCCGUUCAGUGCAGUGGUAACCACCGAUGCCGCGGAAGGAUGAUUCCGUUAGUUUCCCUUCAUCGUCUUAUGGCGAUCUUUGGCUUGAAUAGAGCGGACAUAGCUUUAAGCCUCUGGUAACUGUUUAUCUGCUCGCCCACGUGAUAUGUUUGUUUUGGAACUUUCCUCUUCAACGUACAGGGGACACAGAACUAGAAGACGGUAUACCGGAAGAAAAGGGGAAUUCCGGACAAGCUAAGCAGCUACAAAGAACUAAAUAAUCAAGGUAUUAUUAGUGGAGUUUAUAACGCGCGUCAGCGAGCUCAAGUCCUUUGCUCUAUGAACAUCUCCCUAGUGGGAUAGUUGUAUUGGACCGGGUUCUACAUCUUUUCUUUGCUCCAGUGCUAUAUGAUUGGAUUAUCUUAUGAUUAGACACUUUUGAAAUGAGUCUCUCGGCCUUUUGUUUCCUUAGUGACUUAUGCUCUCGGUUGGACCCUUUUGUUUCCUUAGUGACUUAUGCUUUCCGCUGGGGCACGAAGUGUAAAUAGCUUCAAAGGGCUUGUGAGAAUAUCCGCAAGUAUGGCCAAUCCGGGUAGGCAGCACAUGAAUAGGCACUUUUGAGUCAGAUGUUUCAUUUGGAUUUGAUAAAGGAAGUUACAUCCCUAGUAUAAGGAAUAUGCAAACAAUAGGAUACUAGAGGAACAUACAUACUGGACUUUCAGGAAGGGGUACGUAUGCAACAUACAUACUUUACAUUCAGGCAGGAAGGGGUACGUACGCCUAGUAUCAUAAUAGGAUGUGAAUCCGCACUGAAAGAAGGGCUUACACGAAACCUAGUAAAGGUACGAUACCAACGGGAGAGGAACGAAAGGGUACUACGUCUUGGUCGUCCUUAUAUGGUAACAUGGUGCCUUUGGGCAGGAAGCCUUACACUCCACCAAUGUCCUGUGGAUUGAAUACGUCGGCUUAGUUCCAUUACAGUAAGCUAAGUAUGAUUGGUAUGCAGUAUCGGUUGCAACGGUUAAAAGUCCCUACCUAUAAGUUCCGUUUCCCUCUUUAUGGAAAAAUCAAUUGGUCAAUCAAUCUCACUCUAUAGUGCUUUAUAAAGUCAAGCUCUAUUUCACUACUUUCAAAAACGGACUGGAGUGGAUUCGAUGCAUCUUCUUUGGUCCAAGUCCAAGAGAGGGCAAACCCAUCUAACCAUGAAGGCUAGCGAGUCUAAUGCUAGGGGAUUCGAUUCAUCUAUAUCAAUGACUUAACUACCUUCCCAAAUUCUACUCAUUCAAGCAUUCGUUCCGAGUCGCCAAUAGGAAGAAGAGCGGAUUCAACGUUAGCAAGAAUAGCUUCUUUUUCCUCCCAUAGGCUAUAAGUAAGGAAAACUUCGGGAGGGGAUUCUCUCUUCUUUCUUUAUAAUGUACCAUGACCUGCUGGAAUGGCAAUCGCUUAACGCACAACUGUGUAAGGGAAUAUCAUUUAUUGACUUUUGCUCUCGGGUAGCUAGAUACGAAGCCUUGUCAUGGCUCCCUAAACUGAAUGAACUGGCACUCAACUCACUCCCGCCUUUGAUAUCUCAGACUGGGUGUACCCGCCAAAGCGAAAGGUAUUAUACAGGGCUCCAGCUUGUUUCCAUCCCAAUCUUGUCCUUUGAGUCGAGCCAUUCUUCUGUCCUUCUUCUCACCUGCUGUUCUUUUCCUGUCAGCUGCCAUCGGCGCCGCCAUACCUUUCCUUUCUUUAUGCUCAGGAAUAACCAGUGCUUUAUUGAUCCCCUUAAGGUUAUUUCCAAGACCAUAGCCAGGGCGCCAUCCCUUCUUGAUUGUUUCCUUGAUAACCAUAGCGUUUGCUGUUGACAAUUUAGGUACUGGUACAGGGCUGUAUGACGGCGAAAUGCUAAUAACUGGAAAUUCCACAUGAAACGUACACGGGCCAAAACUCAAUGGGAUCUCGAUAUCACCCACCACCUCUCUCCUUGCUCCAUCGAAGGCCCUGACUAUCAUAUGGCUGCUCCUCAUGUGUGAGAUGUAUACUGGUAGCUUUCGCAGGGGUUCUAUCGGCAUUACAUUGAUGGUUCAGCUACUUCUGAUUCUAAAGAGAAGAGAGAUUGGCCGUUUCUGUAUUCCUUGUUUACAGUUACCAUUAGAAAUGAGAACUUUCCUUAUGGCUCUUGCUAUGAACCUACGGAAGAACCAUUAUCCAUUAGAAAUGAGAACUUUCCUUAUGGCUCUUGCUAUGAACCUACAUAUUUAGGGCUUUCAAACAGCCUAUGCCCGUAGCUCUAAGUGGGAUCUAAUUAAAAGUAAUGUAAUUGGGUGCCAUGAUAUUGCCCACAAUAUGCUCCCAGUUAUUCAAAUCAAUAUUGUGUGAAACAUAUGCCUGAUUGAGCACUUUCAGGAGAGCUUCACGGUGGGGCUAAGAAUUGAGCUGCAACGAAAGCUGUGAAUCCUCGAUAGGAGUUCGUUUUGUUUAGCUGGUCCACCACGCUAUAUUCACUGUGUUUUAUAACCUUAAGAAAUGAAAAGGCCUCUUUCUCUGUCACCGGCCUCUUGAUGUGAGUUGGUGGAUUCAGUUUAGUUGAUUGCCAUUACCGAGUCCUGUUUUGAGCAUUAGCGAGUGGAGUUGUUGGCCUAGCCUCUUACUACAUUCUAUAACUGGUGAUGGAAAUACAUCAUGGAAUUCUUCACUUCAAGUUUAGACAGUUUGUAUUUGAAUCGGUAUACUUUCUUUGAAUUGAAAAAACAACAAAUAGAGAAUACGAUACAAGAGAAGAGUACUGUUGCGCGUUAGAGGUGUCUCCCGCUUAUGCUUGCUUCUGUGCAAGAAAGAUCUCUUUAUUAGUGGAGUUUACUGAAGGGAAUAGAGUGAGGUAUAGAUCCAUCUCGGUAAUCAUAAGAAUCUAAUAAUAGGAUUGAGCGAUAGGCUGCAGUAAAGGGUCUAUGAGGCAAGGGUCCAUAAGGGUUUAUGAGGCAAGGGUCUAUAAGGCAAGGAUCUAUGCUCUUAAGAAGAAAUGCACUAAAACAGCUCUUUCGGGAGGCAAGAAAGAUUCCUAAUUGGAUUAGUGAAAGAGGCGUUAAAGGACGCAAAAAGGUGCUAAGAGCCUUAUCUACUGCUUUCCCUUAACGAGCAUUAACCAAAUGUAGGACUGUCCUUCAGUAAACUCGUAAACUCGCGUAAGCACUUAGGCGGAACCAACAAGGGAACGGAACCCGCAAAGAUGUUAGGCUCAAAUGUCUACGAACAGCUUUAGGGGGGUUGGGUUUUUAGAUAGAUUUGCUUCAAUUGAAGUUUCCCUAGAGCGGCUUAUUGUCCCCUUGGCGUAGAGAAUGGGCUUAUUGACAAGACAGCUUUCUUUCCCUUGUAGUGCUUGGCUUGGGGGCAAUAAUCAAGUUCGGUUUGGUGCUUGGCCCCUUCCUGUCUCCGUUUCCUCAGCUACUUACUUGCUUUCUGUAACUAAUGCCUAUGAUCUUAACUUGUGUGUUUUAGUACCUCGCUCUUGUCUUUGAUCCUAUCUUGACUUACUAUGAUCUUUACUUGCACAUAUCAAUCUUACUAAACUUUAUCUCAGUCCAUAUCUCCUGUUUAGGUAUGAUUUUCCUAUCUUUUAUUCUUAUUAUGUGUUUCACCUGCGGCUGGAUUGAAUCCUUAGCGAGCCUAUUGACGAAAAGAGGGAGUGGAUACUCAAAGUCAAAAGUCAGAUCUGAGAGACAGGAGAAGCGGAGUGCAAGUAGUUAGUUGAAUAAGGUAGUUACAGGUCAAUAGAAAGGGCAGCAGUCUCAUAUGCUGUAGUCGUAAGUCAGUAUGAGUAGCGUGUUGGGUCAAUUCUCCUCUUGUUAAUAUCAAUUGGUCCUAUCUCACUAUUUGCUAGAGCGUAGUAUCCUUUCCGCCCGAUAUCCUUACUUUUUGCAUUCUUUAUUAGCAGUAGGCUUUCAGCACCUGCUUAGGUAGAUUGGAUUCUUAUUCCUUUCGGAUCUAGUUCCUUUACAUACAGGUAUAGCCUUUGACUUUCCCUUUGCAUUCCUUAUUACCACACACAUGAAUUAGACCAACUACUAUAUAUCAGACUUAUAUAAACAAGUUCAAUUCAACCUCUCCUCUGGAAAACCCUAGUGCUAUUUAUCACCAACCACCCCUUUCUUUCAAGUAAAGUAGGAAAUCAACCCAUAUGCCUAUUUAUUGAAAGUCGCAAAUACCUAAUUGAACUCAUAAGUAGAAAAGUCAGUAAGUAGAAAAGUCAGAGCACCCAGGUAGGUAGUGACUAACCGAAGUCGAAGUCAGAAUGCAAGUAACAAUUCCAAGAGUGAAAUAAAGUAGUCAGAACUCCCUCUGUGUGUUGGGCUAAGUUAGAACUCAAUCCCACAGUCAAAGAGUAGAUUAGCAAAUCCAGUUGUAUAGGAGACAAGCAACUACGAUACAAAGCAGGUGCCUCUACAGAACAGAAGAGAGUUAGACAGAACAGAACCCCAGUGCCAAUUCCAUUCCAACCUCGAGAGAGUUUCCGCAGUGUCAAUUUGAUUACUUAGCUUUGGAGACAAUUAUUACAUAUUAUAUUCAUUAUUCUAUUAACCAUUAUUUUCUAUUACUUACAUUACAAUUACUAUUAUUCUUUGACUUAGUGAGUUAAGCCUAGGUCUCCGUUUUCACUCUUGGGCUUACUUUUGUUAUUCUCGUGCUGAUGAGCUCAACUCUCACAAAUACGACAAUUGAGUCUUGCCCUGUGAAAGCCCGGAUUCAAGUUCUGAUAUGCCUGGUCGUUAGUAGUUGCUUGGCGGAAUUGUAAUAACAUAAAAUGACAUAAGUGUCAAGGUCAAAUAGAAAGUCUAGUGGAGUUUAUAGGUGUGGGUGUCGGUUCAACAAAUCUCUACUCUUUGAGUAGGAGGCAAGUCUCCCCUUUUGGUGUUGUCGUAGACAGAAUACAGAAUGCUUAGGCAAAUACAGAAUAAGAAUACUUAGCUCCCCACACGUAGCGCUUAACUUAAGGCUAAGGCAAGUAGGGAAGAGUAGCAAGUCAAAGGGCUUAAGUGAAUGCAAGCGGUGUAGUUCGUUCAUCAAGGAGAGUUUCAUCCGUGUUGGCAACGAUGGAGGUGAUUGUGUCGUUAAGUAAUUCAGUGUCAGCACAGCAAUAGAUUCUGAAGAUAAUGAAUCAUCCGUUUUAGUUGAAAGAUAAGGCCCGGCCCAUACACUAAGUUUCAAGAUUAGAAACAAGAUCUCUCUGGAUCAGGAUAUGAGGCAGCGGGGUAUCUCGGAACAAGCGUGGAAGCACAAAAAAGAUAAGGACCAUAAGCAGGAUCGGAUGCAGUAUCAAGAAAAGAAGCUGUUGAGAGAGGCUCCUCUAAUGUCAUGCCGAAACCAUCACUUAUCAAAACUAGUAAACGUGUAUUAUAUUAUGUAGUGGUUCUUUAGUUGUUGUUUCCUCUUCUUCUGUAGAACAAAGGAAUGGGAGUUUCAGCAAGUAGAGGCAGCCUUAGAAACAGGAAUAGCAGAGUGAUGGAGGGUACCGAUGCAUCCUUACUUUACAAUAGAGUCGUUUCAUUAUGACUUGAGAGUGUUAUUCCCGUUAUAGGGAUUGAAUGUCAAGUGCUAUAGUUUCAUCCUCGAGAUAAGAGUUUGGGCUCGGUCGUUCCCCUACUAGAUAAGAGUGUGGGCUCGGCUGGAGACUUUCACAGUUGGGAAAGAAUGAGGUUCAGUAAGGGCAGACCAAUCGACAGGAUAGACUAAUAACCAGAUCUCAAAGAAUGCAAUUUGUACUGAUUAGAUUGAAGCUGCUGCCCACGAAGCCUACACUACCUUGCUUUGAUUCCAACUAGCCUGCUCAUGAGCCUGCCUCGACUGUCUCUGAACCUAAAACGGAUGCUUUUCUUCCUGUAGCUACCGGCUUUACUGCCCUUUAGACUGACUUUACUGUUUCGAACACUUUAGCUACUGAUCCAGGUCUUUACUUAUGAACUUGAGGCUCCUACUGCUUAGGUUAUUCUUAUAGACACCAGUUCCGUUCUUUAGUUGACCCUGCCCACUGUAGGUAAAAUAUCUAUUCCUUAUGCUAUUCUCGUUGAUAUAGUAGUCAACCCUUGUUUCAUUGCUUGGAAAGCAUGGCUCAGUAAUGGAGUUAUCAUCAAGUACGUACUAAUAGCUCCCAUUGCAUAGAUCCUAACCUCUUAUUCCUCUCCGUUCGAAGGGCACUUCUUAGCUUCAUUCUUCUACUUAUAUUACUUAUUAGUGCCAAUUACUAUGGUCUAUUACUUAUUAGUGCAAUUCUGACUUAUGUGUUAGAUUCCCCUGGGUAUCGCGAUUAUUAGUAUUCUGAGUAGAGUUAUAAGCUAUCUACGCAUUGAUACAAAUAUGACUAUUACGAUUAUUAUAAGAUAAUAGAUAAGUGAGUUACAAAACCAACUCUAAUAUAGGUGUAAGAAAUAAGGUGUAAGAAAUACAGAAUUGAGCAAAGAAAAGAGAGAACGAAACCGAAGAAAGGAAGAGAAAAACUCAUAAACGAGGCGGGCCGGAAUACAAAACUCCAGGACAAGAUGUUAGAUCCGUAGUGGAUUUCCUAGUUGUUUGAUUAUUCCUAUUAGUAGAGCGUUGGAAGGGAAGCUUUAAGAACGGCAAACAGCUCUAUUCUAUGAUAUGACCAUACUGCAUUUGGAGAAGCUCAUCCGCUAGAAAGAAGCUUUAUGGAAUUUUGUUCCCUCAUUUCCUUCUUAUCGAGGAUAAUCCUACUAAUUGUUAUUUUCGUUGUUAGCUUAGCUUAUUGCUAGUGACACGCCCCCCAUUUCCAGGUAUUAGUAACUUCAACGAUCUUCAUUAUAGAAUAUGAUGGAACACACACUUAUCUGAUUCUCUUAAAGAUAAGAGAGAUGGAAAUAGUAGAGCAGGAACCGGAACUUAGUGAGGGGAUCCGAGAAUAUAAAGCAAGCAGUUUCACUCGAGAGGGGCGAAAUAACGGCGAGUUUCACGUUGCUUGUUAUCCCCACAAGAAUAAGAAUGCGUUAAGGAAGGCUGCAUUCAUUAAAUGAGUCAGAAUAAUCUCUAUUGGCGGCCCCCCGCUGGCUUAUAUGAACCUAUGAUCCUAUGUGGAGUAAGCCACGUAUUGAGAGGAAAGUCUUCCCCAAAUCAAUCUCCAUCUUUGUUGGUUUGUACUGGCCUGGAGGAAGGCGGGAGAGGCAGUGUCACAGCACGGCUAGAAAGGACACCCAAAACUAGGACGGAAUCACCGAUCGUACUAAGCCCAGCCGAAGUCCACUUAUGAAAGAGUGCUAUCUCCGGGGAGGAGUUCAUUCAGGUCACUAAUGUUGCGUAUCCAUCUAACAGCUAGUAAAGGUUCGAAUGGUAAAUAUGGGAGUUCCCUUUAAGUAGCUUACUGAAGGAAGUGCUCAAGUCAGCAAUCAAGGUAUAAACCCAAAAGUCUUGUUUAGGCCCCCGCAAGAAAUCAAUAGGAAAAAGCCUCUUCCAGUAGUAUUAUAGAAAAAGCACAUCUCUUUAUUCCAGUAGUAUUAUAGUAGCUUGCUUGACAUCUUUUCACUUCUAUAGUGGGGCUUAGUUUGUUCAGCUGAAGGAAGGUUCGGAAGACUUCUUGUAGGCCUGAUCUCAACGAUAUAGAAGUCAGUGGCUUUUAAAACGAUCGACUCGACUAUAAGAUAAGAGAACGUUUCUAUUGAUAGGAAGGGGACUUUCUUAGAAAAGCAAGCGAAUACGAGUUUUUUGUUGGGUUACUUUACUUGAUCAAAGAUAAGAGCAAAGCAAGUGAAUCAUCAGUUUCUCCAGCAAGUGAAUAAUAAGUCUCUUCGGUAGAAAUUCGUAAGAUGUUUUAUUUUAGGGAGGCUUUUUCCCGGGGUAUGUUUUCGAUUUACUACACGGGGAUCUAUUUCUAUACCAAGUAAUGAGCUUACUACACGGGGAUCUUUUUCUAUACCAAGUAAUGAGCUUACGGGAAGCCAAGUCCAGCUCUCCUCGUAACGAACGUUCAAUAAUAGCACUUUUCACGGCAUAAUUUACACCACUACCGGCAUUAACUCAACCAAUCGGACAGCUUGCUAUGCAAUUGAUAGGAUUCAAAGAGCAGCAGGAAGUCAAGGAUGAUGAAAGCAGUUUCUCCUCUCUGCCAUCAAUAGGCAAGGCUUAGACGACUGCAGAUUGAGAGUUCUUUCCGAAAUACCCCAAUCUGAUCCUAACUUAGAGUCAACAAAGAAUCCAUUUUCCAUCUCUAGCCUCGAGGUCAACUCGCUAACUUGUUCCCUUGGUGUGUGUUGGGGUCGUAGAAUCUCCCUUACCGGGAUGGAUGCUUUAACUCAAUGGGCAAUUCAUGUCAUCUUCACACUGAUUCAUCAGGUCUUCGCUUCGGUCUACUCGUUUCGUUAGCUAAAGCCGAGUACACAGAGGUUAGAUUCCAAGCACUAUUAGAUAGAAUCACUGACGCACACUGGGGUAACUUAUAGAAAAGCCAUAUCUUACCAUCCAAGGAAAUCCCCAUCUGGUAAUCCUAGCCAAGUAAUAAGACAAGGUCAUCUAUCUAUCUGGUAAUCCUAGCCAACAUUCGAAGGGGAAGUAUAACUAUACCUAUACCACCUCUUCUCUGGACUAUAGGCAACAAAAAGGGUACCGAAACCUAAGGUCUGGUUUUCGAUCUGAUAGCAGAUAAGUAUAAAUGCUCCCCUAAACCGCAAUGAACAUAGCAAGGAAAUCCGAGUGGAACUACUAUUUUUCAUCACUGGCAUCCAAGCAACAGAGUUUACUGUUUACCGUCAUAUCAUCUAUUCGAAUCUAAUGCUCGGGGGUAUUAUCAAUUUCUUUGCCAUUUCCAACAACGCCCAGUAGUGCUCUUUUCGCUUGAUUGCUCCGAGCCGGUCACACCAGAGUUUCAAUUGAUUGAUACCUUAUGCGAUAUACGAGACUUGUAUUCCCUAUGAUUUCAAAAGGCUCUAUUCAUUGACUACCCUCGGCUCGGCUCUUUGUACAGGUCAAUCUAUAAGAUAAUAACAUUCAAUGGAAUGGGAUAGAAGCGGAGUCUAUUAGUUUGUUUGAUGGGGACUAUUCUACAGGGUCAAGGGUCAUUUUCUUACUACGACCCCACUACGAUUGGCGAAUUACUCUCAGGCUUCUUGCUCAUGGAUUUUGGAUUACCCUACUCAAAGGCAUCGAGCGAUCUUUACUUAUCUCUCCGCUGAUGGGCCGACUUACUUCAGUGGAUAAUUCUCUGAGCAGCAGCGUACGGUGGGCAGAUCAAGCUUCUCUUCAAGCUCAUACUAGUAGUCGGCUUGACACGCUCUGCUUGAUGGAUGGAUUUUCUUUGACUUGAAUUUCUUUCUUGAUUAUUAGUACUUGGGAUGAGAUUUGAGGCGCGGCGCCAGAGACCCUAGCCCGUGAAGUCAAUCAUAGCACCUACACCUUGAGAGAUGAAACUGCCGUUCGAAAACACUUCAAUGCGCCCUUGGAACUGCCAGUGACAGAACUAGCUAACGGAGCUUAUGUUGCUUGUUCGACGGAAGCAGUUGAUAGCAAUCUUUCUCCAAAAUGCAAGAUUACUGCUGUUUCUUGUAUAUACUCUUUCCUCUUCCCUAUAUGAACUCACUCCUGAUGAAUCCGUGGAGGCACAUGAAUAGGAUUCUCAAUGAAUUUCGCCGAGUGUUCUACGUCCUGGCGAACCCUUCCUGAAGAGAUAGAGGAUAAAUGGAUCGUCCAUACCCUUCUUUUUCUUUUGACUUCUCUUUCCGGUCUGAUUCCUUUCCUCCCUCCCCUUGACUUUUGCCAAUCCAAAAUGAAUGAUUAUAUGCAUGAUGAUUAUAGGAAUAAACACAGAUGAUAGGUGUGAAAUCAAAGUGUUAUUUAGUUUGCGCUUUAGUUCGCCUCUCAAAAGAUUGAAGCGGAUUCCGUAAUUAAUUGAUUCGGACGAUGGGGAUCCCUCUAUGAAUAAAAAGCAGACAUAUUCUUUCCUAAAAAGCAGACAUAUUCUUUCCUGAAGAAGAAGAAGACAUAUUCUUUCCUGAAGAAGAAGAAGACAUAUUCUUUUUCCUUUAACAGAAUGAUCAAAACGGGUGUAUUGUAUGGGAGUGAAGGAUAAGAGCUGUAGGAAUCUUAUAGAAAUCCGUAUGGGGAGAUAGUUCGACCGGUCAAACGUAGGAGUCUUUUCAAGAUACCCCAGAGAAAGUUUCCUUACUUGCUUAUCGAUGUGCUCGAUCUGGCUUUUACUUUUGUCUUCCAGUCACAGCACCAGGAGCAAAUGAGAUGGAUCUUUCUUUAUGGAUAAGGCCGGAAUCAAGCACCUUCUUUGAGUUACUACAAAGUCAAGUCAAAGGGCUUCCUUGUGCGGACCCAUGAUCUCCUGAUCCCGAAGUGUUUCUCCUUGACCCCCUUUCUAUUAAUAGGGAAAGGGCUGAUGGCUACCCAUUCUUUUCUCUGUUAUACCGGGGCGUUUCCUAUCUUCCUCUAUUCUAGCUUUUUUCCACUAUAGUCACUUUAAUGUGCUCCGUUACUGAAGUAACGCCUUCCUUCUGGUUUCAGGAGCGAAAGCUUUUGUCUCUAACUGAUACUAAAACGGAGGAUGAAGAGAGAUAGACAAUCAAAGGGGUUAACAAACAAGUGCCGACCCAACUUCCUACGCCGUUCCUACGGAGCAGAGGAAGCGUUGACGAUCCAUUUUCCCUUUCUGUGCCUUCUACCGACUUAUUAAUUAGCUGUGCAUUCUGAAUCCUCGCAUAACUCUUCUUCAUACUGAUUGAAAUAAGAUUCCUCCCCACUCACUCUAUUAGCAUUUGUACUGACAGAUGGUGCAGACCCCUAGCUUUAUCUUGUAUGUGUGCGUGCGUGCCUACUUUCUUUCUUUCUGAACCGCCCGAUUCAAUAAGAACUGACUGAGACUUAAUUGCUUCACCGACAGAGGCCAAGCUACUAUAGGUUUUUAUACAGUCUCUUUUCACUCAGGCGAAAAAGAAGGUUAUGGCUCUCAUCUCAUCCAACUGAAUUCUGACUUGCUGAAUGAGGCAACUAUACAUACUGCUUGGCCCCUAUUCUUAUAUUACGACCUACUUCUUCCAUUAAUUCCUUUUAUGAAAUUAUGAGAAUUAGAAGGUUCAUUCCGUAUUUAUUGAGAGAAAAAGCAUAUGGGGGUCUAGUUACUUAUUAUAUUAUACCUAGCUAAACCCUCUUAUUCGGUUUCUGACCUUGGAGUUGCUGAUCCACCUGUUGCUUCCUCGCCAGCUCAUACUCAAAGACCUUUUCACAUAGAAUUUCGGAAUGGAAUUGUUGUAGACUAGACUAGGUUGGUUUACGAGACAGAGAACUAGCACUAGGGUUGUGACUCAAUCUAUUAGCUUGGAGCGGGGAACCGGGGAACUAUAAUGAUUCUGUUGACAUAGUGCAUAUAAUUCCAUUACUUAUUAUUCGGAUUCUGUUUCUGGUUCUUUCCUUUCAAGUUCCAUUUCGUAGUUUUCAUAGCCCUAUGGUUCAGAGCAAUCAUACCUAUUCUUUCUAUUCUUCAGUAAGCAGCAAACAGGACGGGAGUUGUAAAUUGCUGAAACAAUCGAUUCUUCAAGUCGAGGUCGGUCGGAUAGCCCAUGUAACGAGAAAGGUAAAUAAAGUGAAAAUAAGUAGCGCUGUCAGGAAAUAUUAGAACUUGUCGAGUAGUUACUUGGCGGGUCAUAAGAGAUAGGUGGCUUAAGGAGUCAAAGAAAUACUGAGUGAAAUUAGAGCUUUCCUACUCGUACUGUACGAAGUGUUAUCAGAGGGGAUUCUAUCUUACAUAGUUACCGAUUGCAUCAACAACGGCCUCUCCUUCUGCCCUAUUAUUAAGCGCAGUAGCCUGGACUCUCCUAUAGCUUCUUUUCUCAUCUCCAAAUAAAGAAUACGGAAUGAAACUGUAACUUUGGAUAUGAACUAUACUAAUACGGGGAAUGGAUCACAGCGAAAUCUCAAUUAAGAGUUUGGGACUGACUUCUGACUUCACUACUUUUCUGAAUUCCACUCCAAGAUCGGAUGUUUGAGAGAGCUAAACAAAGUAUAUAGUAUAAGUUGAGUCCUGUGAACUUCAUUAAUGCCAGAAAGGUCUGCGGUAAGUGAAUUGCCUGCUCCUGUUCUGGUAUUUAAGUCACAUUAUUAUAUAUGCUUAUUUUAGUAACACCUAUCCUCUAAAUUAAUCACAGUGAAAUCCGAUAUGCCUAUUUGAGUCACAGUAGCUAUUUUAGUAACAGUCUGCUUGGCGGGUUGGGCAAAGGGCUUGCUUGUCUAUGACUUUCAAACUGAAACCCGGAUACCCAGGCCAUUGGUUUUCUUAUAACUCCGCUCUGGCUCGGGCAACUCAUCAAGUUAUUGCUCCUCUACUAUUUGCUACCCGAUCUCCCCAUGAAGCUUAGCAACCCUAUUUCUCCUUACCUUUGCCUUUCAUAUCUUGACCACACGGUAAGGCGCAGCACCGAACUCGCUCGAAGGAUCUAUGAAAAGAACGUCCCACUACUAAUUCCUACCCCCAAAAGCAAGUAAAGAUAAGGCGCGGUAGUUCCGACGUCUCACUUGGAAAGUAUACGCAUUGGCUUUACUGCGAAUCCUUUGGUUAAAGAGGCAAACUAUGCCCUUAGUUUCAUACCAAUUUCCAGGAGCGAAUUGAAAACACCCUUUCUUCUGCCCUCGCCACUUCUUUCGUGGUUGAUAUUAUACCUCUAGUACUCGAACGGAAUGUAUCAGAGGGUAGGGUUCAUCCAUAAAGCUUGAUCAACCAUUAACAAGCAAUCCCUAUGUGGGAGGCUUUGGUCAGUGAGAUGAAGAAAUAGUGCUUCAAGACCUAUUACGGGUCCAAGUGCUUUUGUUCUUCUUUACAUCUGUGAUUUUGGUUCUUAAAAAGCAAGCAAGAGUUUUCAAUAGUUCAAUUGUCAUAUAUGAUCUUAUAGGUUUAUAGAUUCCUUAACAUCAAGUUUGUCAAAAGCGCCGAAUUCAUGUUGAUCCAUAAAUUAUGUAUGAUCCAAAUAAGAUGUAAACCUGUUGUGUUUAUACCUUUUUGUCGUUUUGCAGUCGAUCUACCGCAUCUGCCCGUGCCUUACCCUUUCCACUGCGGGAAAGAAUAGAACUAAUGUCAACAAUACUAUAUCUUAAUAUCGAAUCAAACUAAUAGGGAGGAAUUCCGCUCAGUCAGCUGGUACUCCGCCUUGCCCACAACCCUAUCUCUGUCUCGCCGACCUAGCGAUGUUUCUAUCAAGUAGUAAAUACAGUAUUGGGUGUGUCCGGUUUUUUCUCCUUUUGUUCCGGGAGAAAAUCCAGAGCCUCUCAUCAUAUUGCAGCAGGAACCUUGGGCAUAUUGUCGGGUCUAUUCCAUUCCAUCUUUGUGUCCCUCCGCCCCAACGUCUAUACAAAGGAUUACGUAUGGGGGAAAUAUUGAAACCAUCCUUUCCUGUGCUGUCUUUUUUCCAGUAGUUGUUGGAACUAUGUGGUAUGGCUCGGCUACUACCCCGAUGGAAUUCUUUGGUCCCACUCGUAAUCAAUGGGAGAAAGGAGACUUCCAACAAUAAAGAUAUCGAAGAGUUAGUGCUGGGCUAGCCGAAAAUCCAAGUGUAUCUUCUGGUAUGGUAGAAAAUGCAUUCCUGAAAAUGAGCCUUUUAUGAGCUCCGGCUAACAAGAGGUUUACAGAGCGAAAGCGCCUUUCAGUUUAUCUUCCGUCAAGCACGCUUUUCUUUUGUCAAAUACUUGGAAGUUUGGACAACGGGUUGAUCCACUGUUGUAGAUGAGAGAGUAGACCACUUGCAAUAUCCUCCUUUAGCGCCUUCGGAGCCGCCUUACAUUCGGACGGGGUCGAAGAACUAGGUUUGAAGCUAAGCAACAACUAUAAGUACAAUAAUCGGGCCGCUUUAAAAACAUCUUUAUUGUUUGCUCUGAGGAACUCCUGGUUAGAAGUCACCUUGAGUCCGCUAAAAUACUCUGGGGCUAUGGGAAUCUGGAGGAUACUCAACACUAAGUAGGUCAAUGGGAUGAUCAUCAUCAUUGGAAAGAUCGGGGCGAUUGGAUAAAGAACAAGCCUAUUCCACUUACAGAUGAGACUCCUUAUGGAUCUGAUCUGGACGAGAAUAGGAGUCUCGUACAGUGUCGAGUGCUUGUACUGGCAGUGGCUAGAUCAUUCGAGUCAACGCGACGACUCACCUUCCUGCUCCCCAAAGAAGGUCCGGCAUCCUUUUCCUUUUCUUAAGCUAGACCGAAUCAGUCUUAGGACCAAUACAGAGCAUCAGUAGCAGCAGUGCCAGUCUGAGUAGUACUUGUUGAAGCCUUACACCUGGUUAGCUGCAUUCUCAUACAUACUGGUUUCAGUCUGAGUUUCGUUAGUUCAAUUCUUAGCUUUGAGCGAACACUACCCCGACCUCUUAUAAGUGCCCGACCCGACCCUACUUCUUUUGUUUUAGCAUCCGACUAGACCUCAACUCCCUUACCUGUAAACAGGACCACUACUUAAAGGGUUAGACUUUAGACCCGGCUAGCAACCACUAGACAAGAAGAAAGGUGGGCAGGGGAACCAUCAAGAUUAGGGUUUCAAAUGCACUAUCACAGCUGUUACAGAGGCAACAUAGGGAAUUUCCCAUAAGAGGUGCGCCCCUGCCUUAAACGAUGCUAAAUCGGCCUUAUUGCCUUGAAGGUCAGAAUACGACAAGCGGAUAGACAGACAAGCGACUAUUGUUCAACCCCUUAUUAUAAUCCCUUCAACAAGAACAGUACUACCACUUGAGGACUUAUAAAUACUCUGCUCUAACAGCUUACUUAAGUAAUUGGUUGCGCGUCAGGAGCUUAUCGAUGCGCCUAAGAAGCUUAUCGACCCACUACACUACGAGGUCAAGUGGCAAGGAGAGGUGGCUUACUGCCUUUCCAGAGUUAUGGUCCAAGUAGUCUCGGAGGCCAAGUCACGACUUUCAUUCUCACUUCCUACCUUAUGCGUCGGUCUCUUUUCUUUCUAAACGCUAUCUUUAAUAAUAACAGAGAUUUUGAUAGCUAUUUUCUUAUACUAUACGUAUACUGUGUUAGUAGACGGGAAAGAUGAGUAGUCUUUCACUUUUCUUGCUCAUAUACCUCCCCUCUAACUCUGGCUAAUGAGUCUGUUUCUUCCAACCCGAUCCUUUACUUCUUGAUCCGAUCCGAUCCUGUAUUUCUUGACUUAUAGCUUAGCUUCCCUUGCCGACAUCGACUCUAACUCUCUCCUUAUUGGCUGCCGACCUCAACACGGGCUCUUUCCACUCGACCUAUGCAGUUGAAAACAUUCCUUUCACUCCUAAAUGAAGGGCUUUCCAUCCAUACAAAAUGAAUUAUUAUCUGUAUAAAGGAUAUAAGAAGAAAGUGGGGAAUAAAGGAUAUAAGAAGAAAGUGGGGAUCCGGUCUAACGUGGGGAUCCAGAGAUGAAUCUGAAGCUAAUGCUUUUACAGAAAGAGACUCUCCUCAAGCUAUAGGGAAUCCUCUUACCUGGGUUCAAAGAGCAUAAGUUGAAGUCGAGUUCGAAGAGAGGCCUUAUAGUAAGUUCCGGUUCAGGGCAGUAGAUCAAAUACAUUAUUAAUGAAAUCCAGUGGAACAUUGCCUUUCGCCGCCCUAACUUACUCCUAUGUAUUAGUACUUACUCCUAUGUAUUAGUAGUUCUUCUUAGUAUUCUUAGUAUAUUUGAUUAUUAAGAGAGUCUUCACCGACCUCUACUCUGGACUAGCUUGCCUCUCUCUCCUCUAGCAACUCGGUCUUCAACAAGGGUCAAUCAGACUCAAACCACUGCAGCUAGGACAGCUGCUCUUACUACCUCCUCGAGCUCCCCAUACUAGCCAUCGUAUUCUAAUUCGAAUUCUGAUCUGUCUUACCGCAAUGUUCAUAUAAGAAUCAGUUAACUAACUUAUACUUACUAGUUGGAUUCUUUGACUACUUAGUCCAAUUCUUAGCUUUAAGUGAACCCCUACUAGGCUAAACUCAGUACUUACAGAUCUAACAAGAACAAGAACAGUACUACCGGUAUGGGAUUCCAUUGAUCCUUGUAUUAGUUCCGGAGUGUCAGACCUGUUAGUAGAUGCCUUAUUCUUAUGAGUAGUGGUAGAGAGGUCGGGUCGGGUACUUGUGUUAAGCAAUGAGGAAAUAUAGAAAGAGAACGACGAGAACCAGUAAGUCGACAGUCGUUGCUUGGCCCUUUUUAUCGGUAGUGGAGUUGCUAGUUAGUAAGUUCAAGUCUAAUAAGUAGUGAUCGCAUUCCCAUAAGUAGGAUGUUGGUUAGGGCGAAAGUAUCUGAUGUCGAGGGAAAGGAAAGCCUAAUUCUUAUGUGUUGGGGUAGGUAGGCCAGGCUGGACUUCUUAUUCUUAUAUGGGUGGUCGGGCCUUACUUCUUAGUGAAAGCUCUAGAAGCAGUAGCCGAAGCCUAUGUUAGUAGGUUGGUUUGUUAGUUCCGAGUCGAAGCCCUUAUUCUGAGCUAUGAAGCAUGAGCGGAAGUCCGAGUUCCAAGUUAAAGCCUAUGUUUCGUGCUCAAACCUUUGACUUAUUUAUUAAGCCUUGUUCUCAGUAUCUCCAUUCUCUUAUCUGUAUUGCUUAACUCUAGGAUGCCGAGCUCUAAUACUAAGGUAGUACGAUGUAGUGCAUAGACAUCAAAUCAUAUGUUGAAUAAAGAGUUUGUUUAGUCAUGUAAUAAGAAUACAGAGGGAGGAAUUAUGAUCUAGGCGGGGAGAGCGAGUAUUGGCAACUUCUUAUGAGCCUGUCGCUGCUUACUUGUAUUCUUUCACUACGGAUCUAGCACCUUGCUUGUUAGCUUAAGGUCUACUUGCUCUUAGCUUUGACCCCUUUACUGUUAGUCUGAUACUAACAAUAACAAGACUACGACUUUGGGAUGCGAUACUGCACACCCUUUAUUCUGUAGCUACUGAUUAAAACAGGCACUGCUACUAAACAAUGCUUUAACUCGAAACAGGGAAUCCAAGUAGUAUAGUGCUAUUGGAAUGAAACAAGGUGCUGAAAGCCAGCUGCUAACAAGGCAUAAACUGCUACUAGUGAGAAUGCAUUUACCAUCUCGAAGAACCCAAAAAGACUUUCGAAUAUUGGUAUGAUCUAGCACAUCCACUAAUAGGAGAAAAGAGUCAACCACGCCUUACUCCCCCUGCUGUGAAUCUGACUGCCUCCAUCAGCUACCCAAGCCUUACCCCGUCCCUACUAAGAGACAAGUAUCAUUAGUUCACAUCGGUCCCAAGCCUUACUCGCCGGUAGUCCACGCCUUACUUAUUACCGCCCCAAACCUUAAGACUUCCCUCAACUGAUCAGCUAGCUUCCUCUUGGCUCAAACAACCUCUCUGGCUUUUUCUUCUGAUAUUUAUUACAUCAACGCUUAUGCCUAUGGUGGAGUUGAGCCUGCUUUAAGGCUGCCCCGCUUCGCUCUAAAACGAAAACUCCCAUCUGACUUUUCCGCCUUCCAUCCUUGCUGCCCGGAUCUAACAUCGGCAUUUGUAUAUAACGCCCCUUUAGCGCGUUCUUUGAAAACUCCAUAUCAGGCUGGCAGUCCUUCCUUGCUUUCAAACUGGCAAUGCUAGAAAAGGUAUAAGACUGGAACCAAUACCCAUAAGAGAAUUGAGAUAGUACUUAUAAGGCUUUAACGCGUUACAGGGCUAAUUAUAGGCCUUCUACCUACCCACUGACUUUGAUUCUUAUGCUCGAAGUUAGGGCCCGUGAAAACAUCUACGAAGACAGGACUUACGAGUUAUGAGCGCCAAACAACUCCUAGUUAUACUGCUUUAAGGGUCAUUUCCACCGGGUGUUUGACUUGAAUCUUGAUUAGUUUAUUACGGUAGAGUAGCAAGAGCUGGAUUAGUAGGUAGGAGCAGGAGCAGAUUCUUCCCCAAGUCCUGGAAUCGCUUCCCUUUCGCUUGAACCUGACUUUGUCACUGGAACUGUACUUGCUGACUUAGAGCUAGAGCACCAACCUAGCCCAGUUCUCUUUCCUUUAAGAAUUAAGGUAAGUAAACUCAUUCUGUUACUUAUUAGUUUCAUUCUUACCUUAGAGUUCACCCCUGUUUGUUACUUCAAUCGGGCAAGCAACGACUAAGGACUUAGUUAGAGGCUUUGAAGCGGGAAGGGCCAAGUAACGACUACAAACACAUAGAAGGCAAGGAUAUAAUAUUAAUAAGUUGUUAGCAAGUCCUAAUUAAUAGCUAAGGAGUCCCCCACUCUUUUCAUUUCAAACAAGUAGUAGUCCAGGUUUGAGUUGAAGACCGGUAGUCCAGUAAGCUCACUGAAGGCUCUGCUCUUUCUUUUCUAGUGGAAUCCCAAACUAGUAGUGCUCCAGUGGAAUCAGUAGUUGCCGAGUUUCAUCCCUAGUUUAGUCAGAAGUUUACAAGUAGUGGUCCAAGUCGAGUAUCUUCUUUUGUACUCCAAUGCCCUAGAAGGCACCUAACGUUGGUAGAGAUAGGUCAUUUAUACCGUGUUUCGUGGUAAAGGCUUCUUUGUCUAAUGUAAGCUUGUCAUUUCUUUUUUAUUGCGCCACAAGCACAGCACCUCCCUGAUUGUAGAUUGGUGUCUCAAUCAAAUAGGUCAAUGGUUACACUUGACUUGCUCAUAACUCACUGUAGUAUAUACUUGCCUAGUAGCUUGGCGUCUAUUUACUUGGCCUAUGAAUACCCUUGUCUAUACUAAGCUUUGCCGGUGGGAAAGUAGGCAAUCAGAAAAGGAUUGAUCUAGCCAUACCAAUAAUGUAAAUGAGUGCACAUCAUAUAGAACAGAGUCAAGUAAACAAAACAACCACUGCGUAAACACCAAUAAAAGCAUUAGCACCCCGGCGAACUCCACUCAAUUCCAUUUAGUAAACUUGGGAGCAAUUGCAGAAAAUCAUAUAGCUUGUGUGACAUUAAUAGAAUACAGACAGUAACUAAGCAUCUUACUAAGUUGCGUGCAUGAGAUGUUGUAGCGUAAGGUGGCAGUAGAUUCACAAUCCUAAAGUCAAUAAGCAAGGACAAAUGAGCAAGCAAGGGAACAAGGCCUCAAUCUGAUUCUUUGUUGUCUGCUCGUGUUUUCGUCUGCGCUAACGGGAAGGUUUUCUCCUAUAGAAACAGGUAAUUACAGAAUCAGAGGCUCAAGCAGAAGACAGAUAUCAAACAAGAUCAGGAGCGUGAUAAUAUGGUUAAGAUUCAUAGAGUGGAGUUAUUGUCGACUUUUGGGCAUCAUAUCUUCUUUCUGGAGCACUAAGUCCUUCAUACUCUCUUUAUACUGCCCCGGCCUCUCCUUCCAGACCUGCUUGCUGCAACAGAACUCGUCGACGCCUAACUUAUCUCUCUAUAUGACUUAGAGCUACAGCACCAACUACAAGCCAAUCAGACGAGCAACUACCGAGUUUUGUUCGGGACAGAAUCAAUACCGGCUGAAGCGUUAAGUCAUGCCAGUAAAGUCAGUAUUGCCAGGCCCAGUAUAAAGAAAGCGGGAAAGAAAGUCUAGUUUGAAAGUCAAGUCGUAUCUAAAGGAAGGGUAAUCUACAGAAGGGCAAUCAUCUUAGAGCGGAUUCAGGAUUCUAAUUAGGAUCAUAAAAGUUUGAUAAGAUGAGGAAGCUGUUCGAGUUAGAAGUAACUGUAGUGGCGAGGCCCGUUACUUGUGUAGUAUAUGCUUGGCGGGGCCGCUCUUCAUGCACCUCUUUGAACUCUGUCUCCCCACAGGCUCCUUAGCGCAACUCAAAACUAAGCUUGGCCCUUCCCUUCUGCUUAGAGUCAACUAACCACUCUUGUUCGUUUUCUACCAUCAUUCUUCUCCUCUUUUUUAUAGCUUUCCUUCCUUAGUAGCUUGGUCGGUAGUUAUAACCAAGUCAAGUCCUUUAUUCACCGGUUUUAGUAUGAGUUAGAGGCGAGUCGACUCUUCUAAGACUGGCAAGGAAGCACUAAGUGGCCCAGCCCAAACCUUGUAUACGUGUCAACAGAUUGUUCCGCUCUAGCUCUUUGUCUACGUGUCCCAAUUCUAGUCUGUUUGAGUUGAAUCCGUGAAGUCUACCUAUGCUCUUGUUCUUGCUCCAACGUUAGCUUCAUAUUUCGAUUGCCAGAAAGUAUAUAUCAAUGGGUAAUCUUAUCUAAGGGUAAUCUUAUCUAAAUCUAUGCCCUUUGACCUUUUGCUUUUGUUCCUUACCAUACGCAAGAUAGAGAAAAUUCCGUAUUGGGCAAGGGUUGUGUAUUUACUGGUUUAUUUACCUGGUGCUCCUUCCUUUCAUAAUUGAGUUGAAGAGGGUAAGAAUGAAACCUUGAAUGCACUAGCAAGUUCUUUAUUCUGGCCCUAUUCUUAUUACUUACCUAUUUAGGAGUGGAAUAUAAUAAAUACAGGUACCUGAGUUAGGAGUUCAAUAGGAGUUGAGAGUGGAAUGAAAUACCGCCAAGCUACUACCGCCAGAACAAGAACACACUCGUAUAAUGUAUUAGUUGAAGUUGUUACCGGACAAGCAACGGGACAAGCGACUACUUCAGACGCAGAGGAGAGAAAGAUAACUCCCUGUAUGAGAGCUAUUCUUUGAUAAGAAAGGGUGCACAAUGAUAGGUAGGCAAGGUAAGCACUGCGAGGAAAGUUGACUUAAGUGCGGGUAGGGUAGGCUAAGACAUAAGGUAGUGAGAGUGAAAGCUAUUAGUGGUAGACUUAGUUUAUUGAGUUAGGUCAAGAGAGGUAGUGGUUGGUUUCUUAGUUGUUAGGCGCAUUCCCACAGUUUCUAGUUCAAAAGCACUAGUUUCGAGGUGAUUCCCACUUUUGAUUGAAAGUAUGAUAAGCACUUGUGUUAGUUUGGAACCAAGUAAAGACAGGCAACCAGGUAAUAAUGCAAGGUUUGUUUCCUUCCGUGGGUUAAAGGAUAACAGUGAAGUAUAGCAGUAUUUAGUCCAAUUCUUUGACUUAUAAGUGCAAUUCCUGUCAGCAUUGGUUGAGGUUAGGUGGUCUUGUUAACAGUGAUUUCAAUCCAAUGGUACUAGUUUCUUGCCUUGUAUUAGUGACUUGGUGGUUUAAAGCAGAGAUACAGUUUUUCAGUAAAGGAAGGGAGCCUAAAAGCCAGUAGCUGAAGAGUAGGUUUCAGAAUUCGAUAAAGUAAUGGCAGACUAACAAUCGAACAUAGGGUUUUUAGAGCUGUAGCCUAGGACUCAAAGCCGGGAAAGGGCAGACCAAUCGACCGAGACAGGUAAUUAGAAUAGAAGUGGUGUCAGCGAGGCAGGCUCAUAGGCUCAAUAAGGAAUGGGGUUAUAGCCCUGUUGGUAUUAACAUAAGAUUGGAAGUUAGGAUCGCUCCCAAGAGAGUAAGAAAUAAGAUCCGGAAAGGUAGACUUAAAACAAGGAGAUAGAUUUCGCAGUGAGAGCCUUAAAGGCAUUAGUGAAAGGCUAAGUUGUGUGUUUGCUUUUUAGGUUGGAUUACCGGUUUCAAGUCCCAUUCUGACUUAUGUCUCUCACAAGGCUCGAACAGUGCUAUGAUAGAAUCAAAUCAAUACAAAUAAUAGUUCUUCUAAUAGUUCUUUCACUUAUUGAAUAACAAGGCUAGAAACUCGUUACUAGAAAGAAUCAUACUAAACGAAAGGGAAUCAAACACAGAAGUUGUAAAUCAACUGGAACUUUAGCCACUGAUACAGAUCUUCUUCCACCGACUCAGUACAGACACAGUAGGAAGAACAUUCCUACGAUAAUUACAUCUUUUAGAAGCUUAUAUUAGAGACUUGAUUUUGGUACACCUCGCAUCAAAGCAGUAGAAUCUGUCCUGUGUUUGGGCACCCGACCUAUACAGCAAUCACCCUCGCACCGCUCGUCGUCAACAACUUCCACUUUAUUGCUCUAGUAUAUGCUUGGCUGUUUCCAAAUGAAACUACUCCCCUGAUAGAGUAUGCUCCCACUCUUUAUGUAGUAGUGGAAUUUCAAUUGCCCCUACUUUGAAAGAAGCCCCCUUUUCCUCUCUUGCAACAAAGACUUUUAUUGCUCUCAUCUGAUAUGCACUUGAGAGUUGAAGGCUUGAAGACCAGACUGAGACCUAUACUAAGCCCACGGAGCUCCCCAAAAGUCGACUCGGCUACAAACAAAGUGAGUGCUGAAAAGGACUGGUAGAAUGGAGUUUCUUACUAUCAGAAUGGAAUUACAGAAUUUAUAGCACUAGGUAAGUAAGGUGUGUUGGCUUAGAGUAUCUUUCUUGCACCUCACUAUAAAGAAAGCUUGCCCCAACUCUAUCUGACUGGCCUCUCUCUCCUUGCAAAGAAAUAUGUAGGUAUUCUUACCGCGACUCCGAUUUAGUGCAGAGGUGAGACUACUCCCAACAAGUCUUGUUCUUGUGCGAGUCAAGUCUAGUUCUGGGAAAUCCUAUAGAAAUAAGCCCCUGCCCCUUAACUAAACCAAUGGUUCUCCUCGUAUUGAGCUCCCGCCGCUAGUAAUAAGCGAACUUCAUUAAUUGCCUUAACCGCUACAUGGGCAUGAGAUCCUUACAGAUAAAGAUCUUCUGUUGGGCCUGUACCCGCUCGAUAGCCAUUAUUUCUUAGGGCCUUAGAGUGAUAGAUGCGCUACUUAUGUAUUAGGGCCUUCUAGUUUGAAUUGAAUUCUUUCCUCAAUUAGUCACACAAGUUCAGGGUCUGUUUCCGUUUCAGAAUGAUUUGUAUCCUUAACAGAGGUAGGCAAUGGAAGUCGCCAAAACUAGAUGUAGUACGGGAUGCUCUAUAUUAUAGUAUAGGAUAUAGAAAUUGACAACCCGAACCGACCUAUACAUGAAGGGAACUUGACUUUCCAGCUCCUGCUUCUAUAGUUGACAUACUUGUUAGGGUGUGGGGUGCCUCUAUUCUCAAGUCGGGGCAGAGAAAUAAGAAUGAAAGAUAUCUGGAGAAAAUGCAUUAUCACAGCCAAUAGGUCAUUUGCGACUUGUUGAUGAUCCGGAAACCGCUUCUGAUCUUGUAACUACUGAUUAUCCUGAUCACUCUACUUACUACUCUAAAGAAGGGAAUCUCCUCUCCACUAGUUCAUAGGGAAUUCCUCAGCUAACCAAGCGACUAGUACUGAGGCCAAGCGUAUACUUUAGAAUGGAAUUUGAAGCCCUUAUAUUAAGUCGGCGAGGCAAGAAGAGAAGAGAUACUGACUUGACUCUAAAUCAGGUGUUAAAGCCAACAACUAGAAAUCUGGGUGUACCCGUGUAGAGGUGAAACUUAGAGAAAGAUGGUGUGAAAACUGGAUAAGGAUCUGAAGCUGAAGGUCGCGUCAUCAAUGGGGGUAAUAACCUUAGGAGAAGUUGCUCUGUCACAUUCCUCACCGCACUCGUACCCAACGUAUGAAGUACACCACCCAACCCCCAUGCCUAUGAAGUAGCAGAAACCCUUCUUUUGAGUGUUUUAAGGCACCAAGCAUAUACUCAUGAAUGUUGCGCGGCAGAGAGCUCUAUGGCUGUGGGGAUCCCUCCUUUAUUAGUAUGAAAGUAUAAGACCGGAUUUCUAGUUUCAUCCCGAGUGUCAUCUAAGUUGGAAGCAGUGCCCGAGUAAGCAGAUGGAGUUGGAAGCUGUGCCAAAGUAAGCAGUUAGAGCAGAGCCCCCAAACAGGACUUGCUAGAGUAGUAGCGAGUUGCUUGGCUCUUCAAACAGAGUAGAGUGGAUUUUGGUGCUUCUUCAAGUCCAGAAGUGUUCUGAAGCCAACACCGAGUGAGUUGGGGCAAUCUGAUAGUCAAGGAUUUUAUGCAGUAGAGAGUUCGUCAGCGGGAAGUGGAUCUGCUUUAUUGAGUUCAGUAGUUCUGGUUCUGAAAGAAAAUAGAGUUCGGGUGCUUGGCAGUACCUUAGUUGUAUAAGAGAAUGCCCUUCUUCAGCGCUAACACUUACUUUAGCGAGUCCGUUAGCAGAAGCCUAAGCUUGUGGAGGUUAACUCCUAUUUCUAUUUGUUGGAAGUUAAGGUCCGAGUACCGUUGCUAACUUAUAUUACAGUAGGCGACGAGAGAUAGGUUCGGGGAAGUCAAGUUCAGAGUUUAGAUUAGAGCCAGCAUAAACAGGAUCGGAAUGAAGUCUCUUCAGCUGGCGUCGAGUUCUGGUGAAAGAAUCCGCUGUAUAAAGAUGCUGUUAGGUAUAAACGUUAAGGAGCAAGUAAAGUCUUGGAGAGUUCGGGGAACAGAACCCGAAGAAAUAGAAUUAGUAGUUUCAGGUCAAGGCCAAACAUAUGAAGCAGUAAGAGAAGCAGUUUAUGAAGUGUUACCAACGAAAGGGCGUUAACUUGGCGAGUGGAAUCCCCCUUGUAGAAUGCUUAUCUUGGUCCUUGUAGAAUCCUUAUCUUGUUGGAUCAAAAUACGGAUCUAAAGCAGCAAGCGGUGGCGUUGAACAAAACAAGUGUUUCUUUCGGGCUACAAAUGCCAUAAAACAUCCUGGGCAAGAUAGGUUAUUUGCCAUAAGAGGAGUUGCACAUAGGUCUGGAGACGAGUUAAUUCACUCUCCUAAGCUUCUCCAUUAGUAGUUUCGCUUGUUGGGUUUACUGCCCUGCCCGUCUUGCCUUGCACUCUAACUCGAAUAAUGCGCACAAACUAACAAAAAGUGCAAAUAGAAUUUGGAUUGGGUAGCAGAACACCAACAGCAGUAUCAAAAACGGGGAUCAGGAGAAGGAUCAGUUCAUAAGUAAGGUUAAGGAAGGCGACUAAGAAAGCACUUGUUCUUUUGUCAAUAGAGAAAACCUGUCCGAGGUAAGAAAUAGAGAGAAAAGCACCUGUACGGGAUAGUAAAUGUCCUGUAUUUGCAAGUGCUAGCAAGCGAGUAUAAGAAGCAAAUUAUGUUUAGUCCAACUCAGGUAAAUUCGAACUUUCAUAUACACUUUCAUAUAAGAGAACUCGGCACUAGGUGUGGGUUAGUUACCGAGAAGUUGGGACAGAAAGGCAUAAAUAAGGCAAAGCAACUACUUAUGAGCAAGUCCGAGAGUUUGACCCGACCAAGUAGUAGUAACAGAGUAGAUAGGAUGAAACAAGCUGGAUCAAAGAAAGGUGUUGUCGACUUGAAUCCUAUUAAGUAAGAAGAUAAGCUGUAAUUGUACCAAUCAUCAGUAGGAUCUGGAUCAGAAACAGAAGAAAGUGAGUCAGCAGGAACAGUGUGGUAUCAAAGUGAAGGUGCAAGCGCGUAUAUCGGUCGAAAGGAAGCCAAAGCAUUAUAUAUAGAAAGGUCAAUAUUAGACACUUAUAUACUUAAGGAGCAAGUAAAGGUGUGCGAGUAAGGUACUAUAGCUAAUUGUUCGUUUUAGGUCGGGGAAGAAGAUAGUCUACGAGUUCCAUAAGCGGAAGCGAGGUGUCAAUCAGUAAAGAGAGGUUAUUGGCCAAAGUCAAAGGCUACUCAAUAAGAUUAUGUUAUCAAGUAAGGUUAAGGCAAUGUUGUUUGUUUUGUUGUAUAAAGAAAAGAAUAUGAAGAAAGAUCAGUAGCAGGUAAUAUUCCAGAGUUCUAUACUAUAAGGUGUAGUGGGUAAGCUCGGUUAAGCUGUCAAUAAGUCCAUUUUCGUCGAGAACACUGAUUCCCUUUAUUAACCUGAACCGUUUGCUUACUUCCUAAAAUCCGCGAAUCCUUCUUGCGCAAUAAAUUGAGGAGCACCCGGUAUAAGUAAAUACACUGCAUCCCUUAAUUGAGAUGGAGCUUCCACUUAAGGCCAGAUAUUGAUUAUUCUCUUAUUCCAUUCCCUUAACCCAGCAUUCAUCUAUCUUUCUUGCGCCGCUACUUGUUGCUACGCCUAAGCUUGUUCCGUUGUUUGUUUGUUCCGUUCAAAUCGAAAUAGUUAGGUGCGUGCGGGUGCUUGCCAUCCGGCCUUCCCUACUACUAAUCUCCACCGCAUAGCCAGCAACUCCAUCUUUGUUGCAAAGGUCAAAGAGGGACUACGGAGCCACUGAGGAAGUAGCAGAGGCCUCCACCAAAACCUCAUUGUGGAAGUAUGGAUGAGAAAUGAAUCAAUAUACAGAUUGGAAUAAGAGAUGGUGGUAGAAACAUUGGAAUAAGAGAUGGUGGGAACGUUCAAGAAAACUGCCAGCUUCAUCCCAGUCUGCAUUUGCCAAAGCUUUAUCACUCAACUAAUACUGUUGACCUAAAAACGGUUCGCCAUACAGAAAUAUAGAUAUGAAAGACUGGUGAGAGGGAAAGAGCGCUCUAUAGGUGUAUUGGAUAGGGAAGGCGAAAAAAGGCCUAUAUCAGAGUGCUUUAGCGGCUUUCUUUACGCAGGUAUUAUUCUUGUCUAGGUGCGGGGCAAGAGCUAACCGUCGCCGAGAUUCAUCGAUUUCUGAAUCAAUCCACUUCUACUCACCUCGACCGAAGUAGGUAGGCAAUCCAUUUAUUAAUCAAUCCACUUCUCCUCCUGCAGUGCCGAGAUUCAUCCAUUUAUUAAUCAAUCCACUUCUACUACAUAGGGAAACGGAUAGUCACUCUUAUUAUCUUUAUUGCUUCAUCCUCUAGGCACCAUUAUGAUACUUGAGAUUCUGUACUUACUAUACCCGAUAAAGAAGAAGGAAUAUGUAAGAAGCGGUUUUGUGAGAAGUUAGUAUACCAACCCAAUCUCGAUCAAACAAAGUGGAAGGGGUAAAUAGUGUGUUACACAUGUCCUAACCCAAAGAUCCGCUUUCCUCUGGUCAUUGCCUAAGUCAGCUUAGCUUCGACUCAGUCUAUUGCUUCAGCAGAGUUAUUAGAAAGAGUUACAUUCGCUCGCCUUUCCCAUAAUGACUUGGCUAGAAUCCAAUCAGGUCCAUCAAUCAACAUCAAAUCUGGACUUGAGACCAUCAGGUAUAAGACUUUAGGCUGAGCGCCAAUGCCACUUGGGCCGCAGUUGGAAUUGAAUGGUACUGUACUUUGGUGUAUCAGUAAGUGGGUAAUCUGAGUUUCGAUUCUUUUAGUGGGAGGUUCAAAACAAAAAAGCAUUCCAAAACCCUUCUCUCGAGUUUGAGUAUACCCAUUACCAGAAAAAGGACGGGACACAUCAGGAUAGCCGCCCCGCUAAGUAAGCAAAAAGAGCGAAAACUCAAACUGUGCCUUCCUUCUUCUCAAUCAAUAAGAAAUGUCAAACUGUGCCUUCUCUUCUUACUGCUGCUAAAGCCGUUGAUUUGAAAGAUGGAGUCUAUGUACAAUGCUUUCGAAUCAGAUAAAAGGAAGAGUCAGAAGCAAUAUGUUUCAUUAAUGGAAUUAGUGUGAUCUAACUCUCGUGCCCAGCUAGAUCGGGUUGCUCUUCAUUACUGCUUUGCUUUUGUUUGUUUGCUGGGAAGGGGUUUUAUGGAUAACAAAGAAGACCUCAUGCCGCCCGGUCCUGUUUCUGUUUCUGGUUGGGAUCGGAGGAAAGAGAAACUCAAGAUGAACCCGCUCAAAUGUGCGUUGGGGGCCCCGGGACUGAAGGAAGUAGGUUUUCAUGGAAUAACCAAACUCGUAAAAGAAAGAGUGAGGCGCGAAUGUGAAUAGCUCUUUUGGAUUCCCCCACUACACGGUUAGGAGGCGGUGAUUCCUUUCAGAGUAAAGAAGACAUCUUCAUAUAACGUCUGAAACAAAGGAUUCUCAAACCAAUCCAUCCCGAACUGAUCCAAAAGUUAUUGCUAUUCGGCUCCAGCAGGUUCAAAAGAGAAUUACGGAGAUUGAAGAGAUCGAAUUCCUACCGGGACCCCUUGACUCAUAGCAAGAAAAAAGUAAGGUGCUGAAAGCCAGUGAUACACUGAUGGUUCUUUUUGUGCACAGGGACUCUGCCUUUUCCCUCGCCAUAAUAGUCGCUGCUCUUUGAGAAUUCUCAUAGCUUUUACAAGAGCCAAACUCCACUUAUUAGCUUUGACGGCUCCAUGCUGUUUGCGUCGUAAAAAACGGAUAUCUCCUUUUUCCCAGACAGGAAAGCAUAAUGAAGUUAAGUAAAGUAAACACACUUAUUCAAAUAGAAGUUCAUUAAUCCAGAAUAUUAGUGUAACAUCCUUAGCUUAUUUAUCGGGGGUAUGAUCGACACCAGUACAAACUCAUAAAGGACCUUCAGCCAGCGCUAAGACCAUCACAGGCAAAAACUCACCCUCUAUCUUAUGUUUUGCUUUGUCUUUAUCUCCCAAGAUUAGAGGAUUCUCCUUCUUUGUACAUUAGUGAGGGGAUAGAUCCGGACAAGCACUGCCACAGGAACAGUGCCAAUAUGCUAUAGGUGUCGGCGAUAGAAGAAAGAGGAGUUUCUUAGAAGAAGCCGCUCGACAAGAGGGUUCGAUAAUAGGGUACUGUCGAUGAAGAUCCAAAAAGCCUUUAUGCAUGCAUCUCCGUACAAGUGGAGGCCAUGGUUUAUGAUUGAAUCUCAAAGUCGAGCACAUGUGAUAAGAAAGUGCCUCUUUCAAAGGAACGAACAGCUUUCUCAUCUAAAACACUUUUCUUCAAUGAGCUUCUAUCUUAUGGGGUUGCAUGCCCUCGGCAAUGCUUUUUGACUUGACUUUCCCCCGCUUGACUCUUGAGAAAAAGGAGACUGCUAUAUCACCAACGCAGAAACUGACAAAAGCUAGGGGAUUGGCUCCGGGUGUUCCAUGCUUCAAUUACUAGCUCUGAUUCUGGAUUUCCUUCCCGGUAGUCUGCAUUCUUUCUCCGUCUAUUGGCAUUGAGUGAAGAGAUUCAUUCUCAGAGGUUUGUUAGUUCUAGUGAUUUGACCCUUCCUGGGCUGCCUAUGGAAUGUGGAUCAAUAAUCUCCUAAUGAACUAAACCCUUCAGGAAGACUAUUACUAGCGGGAAUAGGAAGAGGACAGGUAUUGACUCCAGAGAUGCUUCUGAUUCAACAAUUCCAGCUCUUACUCUAAAAAACACUUGAUUAUUUGACUUUAAUGACUCUCUUCUGGGGCAGGCUCCUCCAAUAAGCAGGACUGGUACAAAAAGGACGUAUUUCCAUUCUUUAGGGAAAAGAAAAAGAAGGUGCGUUGCCGGGCCGAGUACGAAGUGGCCAACUAACAGAAGAGAAACGAGACGACAGACCGGCUCAAAGAUGCUUACUAUUGAAUCUUCUAAUGAACUUAUUCCCUCCAUGAAGACUGAUUCGCCCGAAGCUAUCCCUAGACUUAAAAGUGUUCGAGUGCCCGCAGAGAACAGCUUCAAAUCAAAGCUAUGAUUCUCAUUGAUUCUUAGGCUUUAUGAUUGGAUAUCUCUUCCAUUAAUAAUCUCCACUUCCACUGGAUAUCUCUUCCAUUAAUAAUCUCCACUUCCACUUCAUAAGAUAGGGAAAGAGCUAUGAGAUAGGGAAAGAAAGAGCUAUGAAAUAGGGAAAGAAAGAGCUAUGAGAUAGGGAAAGAGCUAUGCAUGGGAAAUACAGUGUUCAAUUCGAAAAGAAGUGCCUAUUUCAAAAAGAGGACGGACUUCUUUCGUAGAAGUUAUGCUGAACAGGCAAGGGGGCAGGAGACAUAUCUCUUUAAGAAGGAAGGAAGAACGGAACAGUCUACUAAUUCAAUAUCAUAAUGGAUUCUCUGGAUUUCUCUAGAAAAUCAUAAGUGUUAGGGAAGAGUGGAAUUCGAUUUCUGGCUUCUGUGCUCUGAACAAGCAAGGAUAGCUCGCCCUGUAUUGCAGUCUUUCUCUUAAAUGGAACCGAAACACUCCGGUCAGAAGAUAGAAUGAGAGCUUGAAGGAAAGAAAGUAGGUAGCGUAGGUUCUAUCCAAACUACUGCCCUGUCAUAGCCGAAACUGCGGCUUUCGAACUUGAUUAUAAAUGUGGGAUUCCUCUUUUCCCGGCCUUAUUAGGCCACUGAUUCUAGUUAAGCCAAUCUAAUCACCUGAACGAUGGGGAGAGUUUCUUCACAAACGGAUUUCCGCCUUGACCUCGACUGAGGAUUCCUUCCAAUAUCUAUCUUUCUUCACUGGCCAAACUCACCCUCUUUCUUGCUUUUGACUGUUUUCCAAAAUGAAAGAAAUAUAGGCAGUGAAAAGUUGGAUUGGAUUCUCUUAGGUCGAUGUUACAUGCGGGAAAACUAGGGGUUGUGCCUAUGAACUCUUCCUAAGGCUCUGGGUGUUGUGCCUAUGAACUCUUCCUAAGGCUAUCGAUAAGGGAUUGAUUCUAUUCAAAGACUGCUUUCCUUCUUGUCCACGCUUUCUGUUACUUGCCUUAAUGAGAGGGCCUUAAGAACUUUUAGCUGACCCAUCAAACUGGAAUACUGAUCUAUUCGAAUAGCUGGUUUUCCACCCCGUGCAGGCGUCCUAAAACUCUCGGAUUAUGCCAAUCAAUAGGUUUCAGUAUUUUGAUGCCGGAAAGUAGGGAAAAGAAGCAUUUGACCACCCGAGCAUAAGUUCUCCAUCCAAGUAAGGAGUGAGUCAUUAUAGUUACCAUUCUAAGUAUUCUAAAUACCCGGAACAGGAAAGAUGCCCCGAAGAUCCACCCGCACACCAGCAGAUUGAAAAGUGGCACGCCUUUGAGAUAUAAGUUGAGAAAAUGCCAAACCAAAGAAAGAUGAUUGAAAAGGUACUGAAAGAGCAUCGGUAAGCCUAUCAAUUAGAAGUAAAGCCGGGCAGGCAUAACGCAAGGUAAUACUUGGAAAGUCAAAUAGAAAUAGAAGAGGAAUAGAGUUGUUUCAAGUAUCAUAGAGGAAUAGAGCAGUGGAAAGUAUCAUAGAGGAAUAGAGCAGUGGAAAGUAUCUAGAGCAGUGGAAAGUCUCAUAGAGGAAUAGACCGAGUAGUUGAGCAGGCGUGCAAGAUGCCUUUGCAGUGUAGCCUAGGUAGAAGCUAAACAUAAUGGACGGUUUAGCAAGGUCAAGGACAUAGGAUGGCAAGCUAGCUUUUGAUUCCACUAUACAUCUGAUUUCUUCUUUCAGAAUUAUCUCGUUGCGAAACACUCAUUAUUCUUUUGGAUUCAUUUGGGCUUUUGCUCCUAUGGUAUGAGUCUAAAGUAUAAGUCAGUCUUGUUAAUGAAAAAUAGUAUCAAUGUGGGGCCCAUUCCAUUUUGUCGAAAAUAUGGAACUCACACUAAACGAUCCGUGGUACAAUGACAGCUGAUUAGACUCGUAGGGUAGUUUUCCUAGUUUCAAGAGAAAAGUGGAGUUAGAACAUAAGAAUAGAACCUAGUUUCAAGAGAAAAGUAGAGUUAGAACAUAAGAAUCGAAAUAUGAUUGAAAUCAGCGUCCGACAACACGAUUAUACGCAUUUCUCCAAAGAGGCUAUCGUCCCGCCACCUUUCACUGUCCUGUCGUUUUCCCCAUUUUGAUAACCAGCAUUCUCAUUUGUCCUCUUUUUCCAACUAAGAGAGGAGCGCUGGGCUCUGUAAGCGAGCCAUUCUUUAGUACAUAGUCGCUUGAAUGGAAAUGCACUACAAAAUAUAGAAGUAAGUAACUUAACUGCCUAUCAUCUUUUCGCCUUUCUUGUUGAGCUAGCGUAGCGAGUUCUUUAGCGCUGUAGUAUGAGUGGUAAACCCAUUUAUUGCGUUAGCGAGCUAUGCCUUAUUACGCUUCUAAAGCGGAGCUCGUUCUCUUGCUUUUGGCCUGAGCCAGAUAGUUUCUGGAUUUGAUGUUUUUGACCUGUAGCAAUCAGCUACCUCUAUCCAGCGGAUCUAUGGCUAGGGCAAGCAAAGGAAAGAGACUUCAGCAAAGAAGAAGGAAAGGCUCCAACCGGUAAAUAAUAAGCGGAAGUAAGCCAGCUCUAAAAAAGCCCUUGUGCGCCAUCUUUUUGUUAAGCCAGCCAGCAGGAGCUUCCAAAAGUCUCAUAAACCACUGGAGAGUCCGCCGAACCUGUGACAAUUGGAGUCAAAGGGUAAUCCCUCCCUACUUGAUUGGGGUAAGCCUCGCCUGUUGCUGUAAGCUUUUACAGAAUUCAACCCAUAGAAGAGAAGUCUCAAUAUAUAAGUCAAUUCCAUUCAUAGAAUCUAAUUUCUAAUAUAAGUCAAUUCCAUUCAUAGAAUCUAAUCUAUAAUAUAAGUAAAUGAAAUGAAGAUAAGUAAAUGAAAUGAAGAUAAGUUCAUAUAUAAGGUCCAAUUCUAUUAGGAGUUUCUAGUAGCAAGCAAUAGGAUUGUUAGCAAGUUCAUUUGAAAGAUUUGAUGUUCAUCUCUUAGCAGUUCUCUUGGGAGGAAAAUAACAUCUCGUUCUCUUACAUCUCUGUAAAGCCUUCGAUCGGUUUUGUCUCUCUCUUGGAAAAUGAAUCCUUUUCUGGGCUUCGCACAACGGCUAACUCUCUGUAUGGAGUGUACCACGCCUUCUUUUAUAUUGAACUUCUAGCAUCUUUGAAUAUCAUAGUUCUUUUUCUCCAGCAGGAAUCUAUCUCUCUCAGCAAUAAAAAACGUAGCUAUUAGGAAUAGCUUAAGCCUAUAAUAGAAUAUAGCCCUAAAAAGCAGAGAACGGAGGAAGUUUCCUUCAUCGCUCGGUGAGCUAUUAAUUGCCUAGCGCUUCGAUUGCAUGCAAGGUGGCCAGCGCAGCGCGGGCGAAGGAGAUGCUUCUGGUAGUACUGGAUAAGCUCUAGGGGAAUAAUCUCUUUCUUCCGUUUUUCUUCCUUUCUUUCCCAUGACGACUAGGAACGGGCAAAUCAAGAAUUUCACUUCGAAUUCCGGACCUCAACAUCCUGCUGCUCAUGGUGUUUCACGAUCAGUAUUGGAAAUGAACGGAGAAGUAGUGGAACGUGCGGAACCACAUAUUGGAUCACUCCAGUGCGGCACGAAGCCGCUGACGCUGAGUAGGCUCCUAUGCCGCUAGCUAUGCCAAGCAAGGUCCCCAGGCACAGUAAGGGUUUGUUUCGUAGCGCGUCAUGAGCACCGGUCAAAGGGGAAGUUCAGCAACUCAACCUAACCUUAAUACCUUACUUUGGAUAGGGAUAGAAGGGAUAAGGUUUUGAAGGUGGCCUCGUUAUCCACACAUAUGUCGGAUGAAUAGAGAACCGACCUGGGUUUGAACCAUAGCGGGUCCUGGAGUGCCCGCCCUAUUGGAAUUCGCUAACGAACCCCGGGGUGAUCAUCACUACCUGCACCUAACAUCUCGGCACAGUGGAACGUGUAACCUGCCAGCUGUCCAAGUCAACUACUCAAUAUCUGUUAAGUCAAUAUCCGUUAAGCGCCUAACAGAACGUAGCAGCCACCUAUACAGACAGCAAGCGGGGAGGAUGGCACUACUGGCAAAGACCGUCUGGCGAAAACGCAACAGGCGCGAAGCGUGGUAGGCAAGCGCCAGGGGAGCAACGGGAGGAAAGGGAGCCCGGACGGUGUAAGAGCCAGGGGAGGCCGGGUCAUUUAACGGAAAUCAAAGGGGUCAAGUAACUACAAACGACCGCAAAGUAACUACAAACAGGCAAGCAACUACUAUACAAGUAACUCCAAAUGGGCAAGCAGACAAUAAACAACUACAAAGACAGAGAGCCAAGCAGACAAGACACUGCUAAUUAGCUUCCUAUGAACGUUGGGAUUUUCGAAUUCAUGCAGCUCGAAUGGCGUGAGCCGCAUGCGGAGAGACCCGCACGUACGGUUUUCAGGGGGAAGAGGCCGAAAGACCGCGCCCACCCGACUAGAGGGACUGAGAAAUUAAUUGAGUACAAAACUUAUCUUCAAGCUUUACCUUAUUUUGAUCGUUUAGAGGGCGAUCGCGGAGUCACUGAAUGGAAGUCCUCUCUUUCUUUCACCAGCAGCGAGGCAUAUAUGACUAAGUAACAUAUUGAAUAUGUCGACGACAACAGCAUGUCGUAUAAGGAGAUAACAGGUGGUAGAGCCCUAAGACGUAUCCUAAACUACAUCCCCGAGCGGCAGUCAAACUUAGGCGUGAAUGCAAGAUGCCAGCGGAAUGAUCGGCCGGACAGAGGCUAGGGCAGCUUCCUUCCUUGUGUGUCGGAGAUAUAAAGCGAGUGCACCGGAAAACAAUUGGGAACGGAGUCGAUCUAUUCCAUGGCGAAGCAUCCGAAGCAUAACUGCACACUCUGACUAUCUUUGCCGAGAGAUAGGAGCAUUCGGUGGAACCGGUGAACUACACUUGCUUCUUUAUAGAUGUGUGGGACAGAGGGCUCGUGGUACCAGCUGCCCACCCUUCCUCCGCUUUGAUAACCGUGUGAACGGAAAGUGGGCAGAGCAAAAGGGAAGGAGGUCCUCAUACAGAGUCUAUCACUUUCGCUUUUCCGUGCGGGAGACUAGAGAAUGGGUCGAGUAAACUCCCUUGGGGUCAUUACUUACUAAGUGUUUUUUCACUUAACAAUAAAGUCGUCUAGUAUGGAUUUUCAUUAGUGAUUCGAAAGGUUGGUAUCUUACUUCUAUGAUUCGAAAGGUUUGUAUCUUACUUCUAAAGGAAGGCAGAGGUAAUUCGAAUGGCGAAGAGAGGCGGCUCGGCUCGGUAGGGAAGGAAUGGUCAAUCGUUCAAUAAUUAAGGAAUUCUUUGUUGGCGAAACGAUGAGGGGUAGAAAGCAUGCCAGUGAUUCUCUAAGCAUUUCCAACGCUUCGGGAAACUUGCCGAGAUAGAUGAAAGCACCUUUUUCUCCUCUUCCUGACCUUUAAGGCUAUCUUCUAUUCUUCUUGCCUUCACUUCACCUCCUCGUAAAUAGAACCCUUCUGAUCCAUUCAUUUCUGCAAGCAGGCGGAAUCUAGAGCUAAGCCCCACUCCUAUGCAAUCAAAAGUACUUAAAUGAAAGCGCAAGUACCCAACUUUUUCACUCUAAUCAAAUCAGAAGCUUACUCAAGUACCAAAGGCAGGAACGUGGUUUCGUUGGGGAUGGAUUCAGUCAGCUAAAAACCCCAUAAUUGAUUCAUGCUAGUCCUACUUCUAUUGAUUUCUUUUUCUGAUUAAUGCUUAGUCCUACUAGAUUUCUUUUUCUUAUUGACUUUUAGUAGUCUGCUUUCCGUUUCUGACUUUUAGUAGUCUGCUUUCCGUUUCUCUUUGCAGCGAUGCCCCUUUUAUAAAAGCUUAGCAUCUUAGCUUCCGAGGUUAGGGUCAAUAGCCCUUUUUCUCAAGCUUCACUUUCUCUCCCUGCUUGAAACAACUUGAGCUUUAGCUUCCAAAGGCUACCACGUUUCUGUCAUUGAAGUUGCCUUUCGUCGCCCGUACCCUAAUAAAUAAGUCACUAUCCAACUAAACAGCUUGCUUGCCCCCUACUGAAGUAGCAAAGCUCUGCCCGGUGACUCUUAAUGAGUUUUCCACUUCCAGAAGUCGGGCUCCCGAACAAAGGACUUGGUUAUAACUUGGAAGGAAUUAUAGGAAGCAGCCCUGCCUAGCAACGUUAGUAGUCCAAUGACUCCCAAAAACAUCUAUUGUAAUUAAAAGAGUGGAGCGGCCCCAAAAGCAUCUAUUGUAAUAACUUGUCAUAUCUAUUACCUUGGCUACCGCACUUAGUCUUGCGCCUAAGCUUGGUCGUUAGUAGUUGCUUGGCCUGUUGCUACCGCUGAAAACAUAGAUUGUAAUAACUUCGUAAUAACUGUAUAUUUGCUGCCGCAUCACAUUAGCAGCUCAAUAACUCCUGCCGCGCAACGUUAGUAGUUGCUUGGCGGCCGUCUUGCUUAGUUGCUUGGUCGGCACCCGAACACAGGAAUUGUUAUAACUACGUCAUAACAUACUUAUUAUUGCUGCCGCGUAACAUUAGUAGUUACUUGCCCAGUGCCUUGGCGCCUGUUGCUGCCGUUUUUUAGCUCGCUGCCGCUAUUAAUUAGGACUUGCUAACAACUCAUGAAAACUGUUAUUAUUAGUUUAUUGCCUUCUAUGUUUUUGUAGUAGUUACUUGGCCGUCUUACUU
rnacentral:lncRNA from 1 species